UUGGUGGAGGUAGAUCUCCAAGUAAUUCAACACGCAAAUUAUUCUUAAGGAUAGGACGUUGUUCAAAGAUAACACUAUCUAUCUCAUUCCUUUCAUCCAUAUGCAUAUCAUUUUCAUGAUCAAGCAAGUAUUGCUCUAAAGGAUAAGUAGGAGGCACGGCAAUAGAAGCAAGAGCAAUAAUUUCAUCCUUACUAGACAAAAAAUCAUGAGGUUGUCUACCAAACUUAGAAAAAUUAAAUUCAUGUGACACACCUCCAAAGCCAACUGUAACAGUUUAUUUCUCACAUUCAAUUUGAGCACUAAUAGUAUUGAGGAAAGAUCUACCAAAUAUGAUGGGACAAAAGCUAUCUUGUGUGGUAGCAAGAACGAGAAAAUCAGUAUGAUACUUAGUUUUACCACACAAGACUUCAACAUCUUUAACAAUUCCCACAGGGCAGAUAGUAUCUCUAUUAGCAAGUUUAAUAGUAACAUCAAUAAAUUCCAUCUCGACACGUGCAAUCUCAUCUUUAAUUUCAUUAUAUAAAGAUUGAGGUAUUGCACUAACACUAGCACCCAUGUCACAUUAACCAUGAUAAGAAUGAUCUCCUAUCUUAACAAAAACAACAGGCAUGCCAACAACAGGUUUAUGUUUGUCUCUAGCAUGAGGUUUAGCAAUUCUAGCAGCACCUUCACAGAAUUGAAUAACAUGCCCAUCAACAUUAUCGUCCAAGAGAUCUUUAAUAAUAGCAAUACUAGGUUCAACUUUAAUUUGCUCAGGGGGUGUAGGUGUUCUAAUGUAGCCCAUACGUAUCACAGUUGAAGCUUUAGCAUGAUCCUUUAUUCUAAGAGGGGAAGGUGGUUUCUCAAUGUAAGCACUAGGAACAACAGAAUCAUUAUAAGCAGUAACUUUCUCUUCAACUGGAUUGGGUUUUACUACAUUAACUUCUAUGGGAGGAUGAUAUUUAAACCACUUCUCCUUAGGGAGAUUAAUAUGAGCAACAAAUGAUUCACAUAAAGAAGCUACUAUCUCACAGUCAAGUCCUUGUUUAGCGCUAAAAUCACGAAAAGUAUUUGUUUGAACGAAGGAUUUAACGCAAUCGAACUUAAGAUUCAUACCUGACUCCUUACCUUCAUCAAACUCCCAAUAUUCAGAGUUGCGUUUAAUUCUUUCCAAUAAAUCCCAUUUGAAAUCAAUAUGUCUCUUCACAAAAGAACCGGUACAAGAAGUGUCAAGCAUGGUGCGAUUGUCAUGAGAAAGCCGAGCAUAAAUGUUCAUAGUAAUAAUUUAUCUAGGGAGCUCAUGGUUGGGGCAUGAAUAUAACAUUGACUUAAGCCUCCCCCAAGCUUGAGCGAUACUUUCUCUAUCACGAGGCCAAAAAUUAUAGAUAUAAUUCCGAUCAGGAUGUACCAAAUGCAUAGGAUAAAACUUUCGAGGAAAUUCCAAUUUCAAUCGGUUGUAGUUCCAUCAUCUAGUAUCAUCACAUAGCCUAUACCAUGUCAAUGCUUUAUCCCUCAAAGAUAAGGGAAAGACCUUCUUCUUGACCUCAUCCUCGGGCAAACCUGCAAGCUUAAAUAAACCACAAACUUCAUCUACAUAGAUUAGAUGCAAGUCGGGAUGUGAUGUUCCGUCUCCUGUAAAAGGAUUAGCCAACAGUUUCUCUAGCAUACCCGAAGGAAUUUCAUAAUAAAUAUUUUCAGUAGGUGCGGUAGGUUGAGGAUAACUCUUUGUGCUUCCGGUCGAGGUGAAGAUACCCCGAACAAGCCCCUCAAAGGAUUAGUUUCCAUAGUGACAAGUGACAAUAAAUUUUAGCACAUUAUAUAAAUGUUUCCUUAUCAAAUUCCACUCACCAAAGGCGCUUCACUCCCCGACAAUGGUGCCAGAAAAGAGUCUUGAUGACCCACAAGUAUAGGGGAUCUAUCAUAGUCCUUUCGAUAAGUAAGAGUGUCGAACCCAAUGAGGAGCAGAAGGAAAUGACAAGUGGUUUUUAGCAAGGUAUUCUGUCCAAGCGCUGAAAUUAUCGGUAACAGAUAGUUGCGGGAUAAGAUAAUUCGUAACGGGUAACAAGUAACAAUAGUAACAAAGGUGCAGCAAGAUGGCCCAAUCCCUUUUGUAGCAAGGGACAAGCCUGGACGAACUCUUAUAUAAGGUAAAGAGCUCCCGAGGACACAUGGGAAUUUCUGUCAAGCUAGUUUUCAUCAUGUUCAUAUGAUUCGCGUUCGCUACUUUGAUAGUUUGAUAUGUGGGUGGACCGGUGCUUGGGUGUUGUCCUUACUUGGAAAAACAUCCCACUUAUGAUUAACCCCUCUCGCAAGCAUCCGGAACUACAAAAUAAGAAUUAAUACAAAGUCUAACCAUAGCAUUAAACUGGUGGAUCCAAAUCAGCCCCUUGCGAAGCAACGCAUAAACUAGGGUUUAAGCUUCUGUCACUCUAGCAACCCAUCAUAUACUUAUUACUUCCCAAUGACUUCCUAUAGGCCCAAAUAAUAGUGAAGUUCCAUGUAGUCGACGUUCACAUAACACCACUAGAGGAAAGACAAUAUACAAUGCCUCAAAAUAUCGAACGAAUACCAAAUUCACAUGACUAAUAGCAAGACUUAUCCCAUGUCCUUAGGAACAAACGUAACUACUCACAAAGCAUAAUUAUGUUCAUGAUCAGAGAGCUAUUGAAUAGUAUUAAGGAUCUGAACAUAUGAUCUUCCACCAAGUAAUCCAACUAGCAUCAACUACAAGGAGUAAUUAACACUACUAGCAACCUUACAAGUACCAAUCGGAGUCGCGAGACGGAGAUUGGGUACAAGAGAUGAACUAGGGUUUGGAGAUGAGAUGGUGCUAAUGGAGAUUUUUGAUGGAGAUGAGUCCCCUCCGAUGAGAGGAGUGUUGGUGAUGACGAUGGCGAUGAUUUCCCCCUCCGAGAGGGAAGUUUCCCCGGCAGGACGACCCUGCCAGAGCUCUAGGUUGGUUCUACUCAAGUUCCGCCUCGUGGCGGCGGCGUCUCUUUUCGAAAGCUCUCCCUUGAUUUUCUGGGACGAAACCCUCUAUAUAGCAGAAGAUGGGAGCCGGAGGGGUAACAGGGGGCCCACGAGCCCCCAGGCGCGCCUAGGGGGUGGGCGCGCAUGGCAGUCUCGUGACCUCCUGGUGGCUCCCCUCCAGUAUUUCUUCCGCCCAGUAUUUUUUAUAUAUUCCAAAAUAAUUCCUCGCUGAUUUUUCGCGGAUUUUGGAUUUGUGCAGAAUAGGUAUCUCAAACUUGCUCCUUUUCCAGCCCAGAAUUCCAGCUGCCGGCAUUCUCCCUCUUCAUGUAAUCCUUAUAAAAUAAGAGAGAAAAGGCAUAAUUAUUGUACCAUAAUGUGUAAUAACAGCCCAUAAUGCGAUAAAUAUCAAUAUAAAAGCAUGAUGCAAAAUGGACGUAUCAGCGAUCAAUUUAGUAGCUAGAGUUCUCAACUAAUUUUUAGUUUUUGAAAAACACACGGAUUUCCCAAAAUACAACACCUAUCACUAAUAGGCUCAAGCUCGUGGCACCACUAGUCCAAACAUUACUCAAAUCAAUACCUCAAAACUAUUGCAAGUUACUACUAUACUUAAAUAGCAACCUCAAUUACCUACUCAUGCAAGACACACAACUCAGUGCAACGAGCCAACUCUCUAAACAAGAUAAGCAUGAUAACUCAAGAGAGUUCCAAAAUAAACCUAAAUAAUAGCUCUUAAAAAUAUACAACAUGAAAACUAAGAGCUAGGCAUGACAGUAGCUACGAAAAGAUAAAGAACACACAAAAAGAUAAGCAUGGAAACCUAUGUUGUGUUAUAGAGUGGAAUGGAGCGUGUUUCUCUCCCAAACAAGGUAGGCUAGGUUCCAAUUUUUUAUGAACAGCAAGCAAAACUAAAACAAACUAAAAAGUAAAGAGGGGGCGCUCCAAGCAUAGCACAAAACAUAUGAAGUGAUAAAAAUAUAGCAUGGAGAUGGACGAACUGAUGAUUGUUGAUAGAGAAGGGGGUGCACGGGGGCAUCACCAAGCUUAGACGCUUGAGUCUCCUUGAUUAUUUCUUGGGGUGCAUGGCGGCAUCCCCAAGCUUGAGCGCUUGACACUCCUUGAUCUUCUUUCAUCAUCUUCCAUCGCAUACUUGAAAACUCCCUUCAUACGAAACUCAACAUAAGCUUAUUAGAGUAGUUAGUACCCAUGAUAAAAUAAUUCAUUACCUACUCGAAAUAAUUAUUUUCAUGAAAAUAUACUGUUUCCCAUGAUUUCCAAAAGGUUUUUGCAAAGUAAAAGCAAGCUUGAGAUUUGCAAAAUGAUGAAAACACAAAAUGUGGCAGAAUCUGUGAAAAACAUAACAUCAGGUAGUAAAUAGCUUUUUUCGGGUACUUCUGCAACUCAAAUAAAAAAACUCAAAACAUAUUCCAGAAAGAAAAUUAUAUAGAGCAUGCUGUCAAAAACAUUCAGAUCAAAAAGAUGAUCUCGUGAUUUUUGGCGAAUAUUUCCGGCAAGCAGACAGAAUCUGUUUCCGUGAAGCAGAUAGAGCUGGCGAAUGUUUCCGUCAAGCAGACAGCAUGUCACAACUUUUAAACUUUCUUGCAAUCGGAGGCUAAAACUUGGCACAAAUCUUGAAAAUAAAGAUGCAAUGAUGUUGCUACAGUAGUAACAAGCAUCAAGACCACUAAAACUAAAAGUAAAAACAAAUUGGGUUGCCUCCCAACAAGCGCUUUCUUUUAUGCCUUUGAGCUAGGCAUGAUGUAAAAAGAUCAAGUAUUAUCAACUCCAUAAGAAUAGCUUGCCCGAAUGACGGACUCAUAAGGUAACUUAAUCUUCUUUCGAGGGAAGUGUACCAUUCCCUUUUAAGGGGAAAUUGGAAUCUAAUGGUCCCCUCUUUCAUGUCAAAGAUAGCACCAAUGGUGCGGAGAAAAGGACGUCCCAAAAUAAUUGGACAUGAGGGAUCACACUCAAUGUCCAUAAUAAGAGAAUCAACGGGCACAUAAUUAUCAUUGACAACAAUAAGAACAUCAUAAUUUCUCCCUAAAGGUUUCUUUCCGGAAGAAUCAACAAGACGAACACUAAAAGAAUAUUGAUCAUAAGGUUUCAAAUCAAGCAUAUCAUACAUUCUUUUGGGCAUAACGGAGGCACUAGCUCCAACAUCACAUAAGGCAAAGCAAGAGAUAUUUUUCAAUGUAAUCUUGACCAUAGGGUCCCAACCACCUUCUAGUUUCCUAGGGAUAGAAGUCUCUAGCUUGAGCUUAUCCUCCCUAGAUUUGAUAAGCGCAUUGGUAAUAUGCUCGGUGAAGGCAAUAUUGAGUGUACUAGUGUGGGGGUCUUCAGCCAUUCUUUGCAAAAAAAAAGUGAUAACUUCGGAAAGACCACAAUUGUCAAAAUCAAUAUCAUUGCUAUUAAGUAGAAUUGUAGUGUCAUACUCUAUAUUUGAUUUGCUCUCUAUUAUAAGAGUUUGGAUGUCUCCCCAAGUUUGGGGACAUUUAGUAGCAACUUCAAACCAAAGAUCAUGUUUCUUCCUGGGGAGACCAUGCCAGGGGCAUAAUUCUCAAUAAUGACUAACAUAGUCACAAGGUAUAUUACUUUUAUAAAUGCCCUCAGUGGCAAUUGGAGCAAUAGAAGAGAAGGGAAAAUCAUUAUAAAUGCCCUGAGUGACUAGUGAAGUCACACAACUUGGUGUUCUCAGUGGAACCCAUAGCAGCAACAACAAGCUAGAACAAAGCAACUAAUUUUUUUGUGGUUUUUGGUAUAAGACACUAAAGAAAAAACUAGAAAGCAAACUAACAAGACUAAAAAGCAAAGGUAAAGGAUAGUGUGCAACUCCCCUAUCUUGAAGACUGGAGUCCCCCGCAAUGGCACGAGAAAACUUUGCUUGAUGACGAGAUGAUGUAUAUACUUCUCGCUCCUUGUUGGUUACCCCAAGUGGAAGGUUGAGAUGUAGUCAGCAACAAGUUGUCCCUUACAGGGAGACUGUAAGGUUUAUCGAACCUGGAGGACUCCUAGGAUCAAAUAGUAGGUGUCCGCUGCUCUGGCGCUACCAGAAGACGUAGACCUGCACACAAACAAAUAACUUUGCUCCCAACGAGUACAAAGAGGUUGUCAAUCUCUCCGGCCUUGUAGUUUGCAAAGGAUCAAAACACAAGCGGGAAUGGUAAUAGUGAUUGCAAUAGAAAAGUAAAUGAAAGCAGUAAAUGAUGGAGGUGUAAGCAAUGGUGGUGAUAUGGACCGGAGUCACAUGAUGUUCACUAGUGAUGUCCCUCUCCCAAUAGACGAUAAACACCUAUGCUUGGGUAAAGAAAUUACAGUUGGGCAAUUGACAGAAUUAUAAACGCACCGCAAUGCUAAUUAUGCUACUUGAUAGUUAGAGGUUCAAUUGUAAUGGGCGGUACGCCAAGACAAGUAGACCGUUUAUUCAUCAACAUCUACUUACUAAUCAUCCACCUUGAGAUAUCUAUCCAGAACAUCUCGCCGGUAUUAAGUUGUGAGCCCCACCCAAAGUGUAAACUCAAAGCAACGGACAACUGCAUUAAUGAACUAUGUGUAAGGUAAACAAUCCUUGCAACUGUGGUCACAAGCACCGUUGUUUUCUCCUUGGUGGCAACAACACAUCCCCUAGUCUCAUGUUUCUGUCACUCAAGCUAGACAUCAAGGGGCAUGAACCCACAAUCAUGCAUAACGCUCCCUCUUGGAGUUACAAUCUACUACUGGGCCAAAGCCAUAAAUAGCAACGAAGAACAUGCAUGAAUCACUAAGGAACAUAAUCUAAAAGGAUAAUCAAAUAUAUAACUCAUAACAAUCUGAAUAUAAUCUCAUAAUCCAUCGGAUCCCAACAAACCGAGCAUAGCAAUAGCAAGAGAAUUACAUAGAUGCCUUGAUCAUGUAGGGCAGCUCACAAGGACUAAUCAUGGAAGCACAAGAUUGGAGAGAAGACAUUACAUAGCUAUUGGUCAUGGACUCAUGGGCCAAGGACGAAUACUCACGACAGGUACGGGAAGCGUCCAUGGUGGUGGAGAAGCUCCCGGAGGUCAAUCCCCCCUCCGGCAGGGUGCCGGGAAGGGGUCUUCUGGUGCUCCCGAUCUCGGAAGCACUGCGGCGGCGGAACGAUGGAGAAAUUCACGAUUUUGGAUCCUCUCCAAGGGUUUCCUCUCGAAGGAGUAAAUAUAGGCCAAAGGAGGGCGUCAGAAGAGGUGGGACCCACCUAGGCGGCAUGUGGGCGCGACCAAGGGCCAGGAUGCGCCAGAAGGUCGCUUGGGCAGGCCCUGGCCCCCCUCUGCCCAUCUUCGGUGAUCUGGAAGCUUCCGGUACGCUGAUUUUUAUAUAUUUUUCUCAGAAUUUUUUGGGCUAUGCAAAAUUGGGCAAAAGCCCCUGCAAAAAAGACAUCAGUAGACAGAAACUGGCACUAGGUGCACUGAUUAGUAGGUUAGUCCAAAUAUGUGUAAAAAGAUAUAAAAGUGUAUCAAAACAUAUAACAAUGUCACCCAAAAUAUCAUGGAACAAGCAGAAAUUACAGAUACGUUUGGGACGUAUCACUGAGCCACAACUACUAUGUUAGCUAUAUGAUCAUGCAAAGCAAUACGACAAUGAAUGCUCAAGUCAAACGGAGGCGGUGGAAAUUGCAUGGCAAUAUAUCUCGGAAUGGCUAUGGAAAGGCCAUAUUAGGUAGGUAUGGUGGUUGUUUUGAGGAAGAUAUAAUAAGGCUAUGUGUGAUAGAGUGUAUCAUAUCACGGGGUUUGGAUGCAUCGGCGAGGUUUGCACCACGUCUCGAGGUGAGAAAGGGCAAUGCACGGUACCGUAGAGGCUAGCAAAUUGCGGAAAGGUAAGAGUGCGUACAAUCCAUGGACUCACAUUAGUCAUAAAGAACUGAUAUACUUAUUGCAAAAGUUUAUUAUCCCUCGAAGCAAAGUACUACUAUGCAUGCUCCUAGGGGGGACCUUCACACAAAGAUAGACAAUCAAGGAUAAAUUGUGCUCCAACUUCCCGGCAUAACGAGAGACUAUACGUGCAUGCUUUAGGAAUCACAAACCUUAACACCAAUAUUCUUACUAACCACAACCGUUUACUAGUACCUCUCUAUAUCGCAAAACUAUUGCAAGGAAUCAAACAUAUCAUAUUCAGUGAUCCGUAAGUUUUAUGUAGGAUUUUAUGACUAACCAUGCAAAUGAACAAUUCCUGUUGACUCUCUAAAUAGAUAUAAAUGAAGCAUGAGAGUUUAAUUCUUUCUACAAAUAUCAUUCUCUAAUAACUAUAAUUGAAGCAAUAGAGCAUUCUACAAAUAAUGGUUUUCUAUGUGAAGAGAAAGACGCAAUCCAAACUUCAAAUGAUAUAAGUGAGGCACAUGAAGCAUUCUAUAAAGCCAUACUAAAAAGAUAUAAAUGAAGUGCAAUGAGCAUUCUAUAAAUCAACCAUGUACUAUCUCAUACCAGCAUGGUGCAUAAAAGAAAAAAAAUGAAAAUUGAAUGCAAAAGACGCUCCAAGAUUUGCACAUAACACAUGAACGAAACAAAGACGAAAACAUAAUGAUACUUGUUAAAGAAAGAUGUGAUGCCUUCCGGGGCAUCCCCAAGCUUAGAUGCUUGAGUCUCCUUAACACCAAGCUUCAGCUCUUGCCUCUCCUCCUUCUCCUCAUAUCGAGGCUUCCUCGAUCUUUGAUCACUUCAUCCACACAAAAUUCAACAGAAAGCUUGGUAAGAUCCGUUAGUAUAAUAAAGCAAAUCGGUACUCUAAGUACGGUUGCAAACCAAUUCAUAUUUUGAUUUUUCAUUGUAUCUACUGUAAUAUAGCUUUUCCAUGGCUGAUACCACCAAUAAAAAUCGAUAGUUUCAUCAAAACAAGCAAAACAAUGCAUCAAAAAACAGAAUCUGUCUUAAACAGGACAAUGUGUAGAAAUCUUUACAUCUACCAUACUUCUGAUACUCUACAAAUUAUGAAACAUUAGGACAAAAUACAAAAUUUGUAUAGAAAUAUCCUGAAAAAAGUUUUAGAACUUUUUUACGCUCCAGUAAAAAAUGAAAAUUCACGCGCUACAGCCAAAGUUUCUGUUUAUGUACCGCACAUACCAACAAGCAAUCUACCCAUCCUAAAGGCAAAUCUUGGCACAUUAUUUUUAUAAUACAAUGUAUUUUUACAAGGGGGUAAUUAUUUUUUUGAGAAUCUUCAUGAAAAAAUCUACAUUGUUUCCAUGAGCAUGAACACAAGUGUUCAAGUUCGACCCUCACUUCACCAAUGCAUCACCUUUCAAUCGCUUCUAUUUUUGUGCAGUUUUAAGUUCCCCUCUAUAUUUUUUUGUUUUAAAACUUUAUAAAAGCACUCAACGGUAUUAAAUGACUCUCUAAAACUUCCGGGUUGUCUCCCUGGCAGCACUUUCUUUAAAACCAUUAAGCUAGGCAUAAAGUGCUCAAGUAAUGGAUCCACCCGGAUCCCAAGGUAUAUCAAAGCCAAUUUUAAUUAGCAAUAAUUUGGCAUUUAGUAGUGAGCACAAAGCAACAUAUAUCAAGCAAUAACGAAUUCUAAAUCUCUUCCUAUGCCUCAGCGUGUCAUACAAGAACAACUCAUGCACAUCAAGUAAAAGCCAAUACAUAGCAUAAGCAGUUUCUUGCAAUUUUAUCGUGUUGGAAACAUAGAGAGGCGGAGAUGUAGUUCCUCUCUCAUAAUAAUUGCAUGUAGGAGCAGAAAGCACAUGCAUAUUAUAUUCAUCAAAAUCAUCAUGUGUAGUGCUAAAAGGCAACCCAUCAAUAUAAUCCUUAACAGGUGCAAACUUCUCCGAUAUAGUGUAGUUUGGAGAAUUCAAAAAGAUAAUAGGACUAUCAUGUGUGGGUGCAAUAGCAACAAUUCCAUUCUUAAUAUAAGUAACAAUAGCAAGUUCAUCUCCAAUAGCAUAAUUCAUAUUGGCAUCUUGGCCACAAGCAUACAAGCAUCAUCACAAAGGGAUAUUUCAAACGAAUCAACGGGAUCGUACCAAUUACCAUAGCAUUCAUCCUUCGAUAAGAACGAAGGGACGUUAAACAAUGUAUGAGUUGAAGAGUUACUCUCAUUAGAAGGUGGGCAUGGGUGAUCAAUCCGCUCUUCCUCCUUUUGUUCUUCACUCUCCUCAUCAUCUUUUUCAUCCAAUGAGCUCACAGUUUCAUCAAUUCCUUCUUCCAUAGACUCCUGCAAAAUAUUAGUCUCUUCUUGGACAACGUAGACUUUCUCAAUAAACGCAUCAAUAUCAGAAUUGCAUUUAUAAUUAUCAUAGCAAUAUUUCAGGAUAGAAAAAAAUUAGGUCUACAAACUGAAUCACAAAAAUCUUCAAACUUUUCAAACAAAGAUUCAAUUUCAUAAGCACCCUUAAAAGCAACAAAAUCUUCUAUUCGUUCCACAUCAUAGUAAUCAUAUAUACCAUUAGCAUAAGAAGCCAAGGUUUCAUUAUCAUUAAAUUUGCAUGAAAAGGGAAGGUGUAGAGCAUUCAUCCUAGAGCAACAAGUAAAAUCAUAUCUCUCCCAUAAAUUCCAAGCAUAUCAAUGCAACAUAUCAAUUUGAUCCCAUAACAGUUAUCCUUUUUGUGUCAAGCGAUAAUCCCUAAAGUAUUCACGUUGAUCCAACGUGUCUCCCGUUAUCAUGUUGAGUGGGGUUUUCUCAGGAUUAUCAAAGUAGUGCAUAAUAUUUUUCACAUAACGAGCAUCGAGGGUUUUAGGAGGUUCCCCAUCUCCAUGAGUAGCAAGUACCACUAUUUUUUUUGGUGUUUCGUGUUCCAUAUCCAUAACUAAAGAUAGAGAACAACUUAGAAGGGAAAUAAGAACUACUUAGUGAUAAAGCAAAAAAGCACACACGAGAAUAUUCACCCCACCCUGUUGCUCCCCGGCAACGGCGCCAGAAAAAGGUCUUGAUAGCCCACAAGUAUAGGGGGUCAAUUGUAGCCUUUCUCGAUAAGUAAGAGUGUCGAACCCAACGAGGAGCUAAAGUCAGAACUAACAUUCCCUCAAGUUCUAUUGACCGCCGAUACAACUCUACGCACGCUUGACGUUUGAUUUACCUAAAAAAGUAUGAAACUAUUUUGCAAGAAUAAAACUACGAGUACUUUGCAAGAAUAAAACAAAGAAUAAAUUGCAAGGUAAUAAAAGUGGAUAGCUUUUGUCAACAAGAAAGUCAUUUGUCCCUAGGCAAUCGAUAACAAGUACCGGUAAUCAUUCUUGCACUUUUAUAUGAGGGAAAGGCAUGAGCUAACAUACUUCCUCUUCUUGGAUCAUAUGCACUUAUGAUUGGAACUCUAGCAUGCAUCCGCAACUACUAAAGACCAUUAAGGUCAUGAAACCCAACCAUAGCAUUAAGUAUCAAGUCCUCUUUACCCCCAUACGCCAUAACCCACUAAUCCGCGUUUAGGGUGUUGUCACCCCCGCAACACCGACAAUAAGCAAACCAUGAACAUAUUGCAACACCCUACAACGGGAGCCCCUCACGUUUGCGCGACACGGAGGGCACCAUGGGACAGCACCAUAAAUAAAAUAUACAAUCAUACCAACCAAGAUCAUGAUUAACCCAUAGGACAAAACGGAUCUACUCAAACAUCAUAGGAUACACUACUGGAAUCAGAGAAUUUGCCAUCUGUUGCUUCUUUGCUAUCUGCUGGCUGAUGGCAAAGAUCCUCUUUGCCAUUAGCUACCAAAAACCAGACGGCAAAGAGUAGACUGAUGGCAAAGAUACUAUUUGCCAUCAGUCAGCUCUUUGUCGUCUGCGAGCUGGCGGCAAAGAGCACGGGGCGACCCAUCCCGCACCCCCUCUCUCCCCCUAACGGCCUCUCUCGUUGUCGUCUGCCUUGUUCCUCUUUGCCGUCGGGGGGCAGACGGCAAAGAGGAUGCGCCCUAACGGUCGUUGACCCCCACCCCCUCACCCCUCUCUUCCCUAACGGUCGGCGCCCCCACCCCCACCUCUCUCCCCUACCGGAUCUCUCUCCCUCUCUCACACCCGAAACCCCCACCGCCGUCGCGCCUUCCUCCUCCCUGCGCCACCACGCUCUCCUCCUCCUUGCGCCCUCCUCCUCCUUGCGCCCUCCUCCUCCUUGCGCCCCCUCCUCCACCAUCGCCCUCCUCCACCACCGCCCCUCCUCCUCCCCGGGACCUCCUCCUCCACCACCGCCGCCGGAGCUCGCCCCUUCUACACCAUCGCCCCCUCCUCCACCAUCGCCCUCUCCUCCACCAUCGCGCCCUCCUCCUCCCCAUGACCCUCCUUCACCACCACGCCGCCCCUCCUCCACCACUACCGGCCCCUUCCUCACAACGCACCGCCUCCUCCCCGCGCCCCUCCUCCUCUACGGUCGUCCUCCCUGUGCUGUCCUCAUCGCCGGCCGCCCCCCUCCGAUGAGUCCUCUUUUUUACUUUUUCGUUUAAUUUGUUAAUUAUGUUAGUUAGGUUAGUUGUUAAUUACCUACUGUUAGUUAGGUUAGUUAGGUUACUUGUUAGUGGUUACCUAUUGUUAAUUAGGUUAGUUAGGUUAGUUGUUAGUUGUUAGUGGUAAUUAGGUUAGUUGUUAGUGGUAAUUACCUAAUGUUAAUUAGGUUUGUUAGGUUAGUUGUUAAUUACCUACUGUUAGUUAGGUUAGUUGUUANNNNNNNNNNNNNNNNNNNNNNNNNNNNNNNNNNNNNNNNNNNNNNNNNNNNNNNNNNNNNNNNNNNNNNNNNNNNNNNNNNNNNNNNNNNNNNNNNNNNNNNNNNNNNNNNNNNNNNNNNNNNNNNNNNNNNNNNNNNNNNNNNNNNNNNNNNNNNNNNNNNNNNNNNNNNNNNNNNNNNNNNNNNNNNNNNNNNNNNNNNNNNNNNNNNNNNNNNNNNNNNNNNNNNNNNNNNNNNNNNNNNNNNNNNNNNNNNNNNNNNNNNNNNNNNNNNNNNNNNNNNNNNNNNNNNNNNNNNNNNNNNNNNNNNNNNNNNNNNNNNNNNNNNNAGUUAGGUUAGUUGUUAGGUUAGUAGUUGCCCGUGUAGAGACCUCCGGCCACCGCCUAUGCUUGCACUAGCCACAACAUUAGGAAACGUCGGUGAGCUUGUCACGCACCUGCCAUGGCUACGACGCCAUCGAGCUCACGGGCUGCAACAACGAUACUGCUGCAACCACCUCCAUGAGGUCGGUGCAGAAACAUUACUGUUGCGACCACCCCCUUGAGGCACCGGUGAUAUUCCACUCACCACUGAGGAUACUACAACAGCUCGACGAGGCUCCACUUGAGCGUGUUUGCAUGAGAUGAGGCAAAGGAGGUUGAAGAAUUCCCACGCCGGCCACCAUCGCAUCUAUACCCACAAGAACGCCGAUGGAUCUCAAAGGUUCAACAAUGGGUGGCUUGCAGUAGACCAUGGGGCGGAUGCCAAAACAGAUCGCAGCAGUAGUUGUCGUCAUCACUGGAAGCGCCAUGAGUGGGGUGGUUUGCAUCAGCUCGUGCGUGUGUGGUGAGUUGAUCUGCAUCACUCGAGCAUGGGCGCUGACCGGCCUGGGCUACAGCAAGGCUAUCUUUCUCGCACAAAUGGUGUGACGAGCUCUGCUCUUUUAUGGUGAGAAAGGAACAGAAGAAUGGGUGGAUCAUGGGGGAACAAUCAGAGAAGGAUGAGUGGUUGGAGAGAGAGGAGCAAAGGAUAAAGGUUUUUUGAGGGAUGAGCUACGUGGGGUUAGGUACGAGCUGACCAGGACGUGAGACAAGGACGCGUGGCAUGCCAGCAACGCGGCUGAUUUCUUCCAGUAAUCAACCGACUAAUUUUAAGAGUUUUCCUAGUAGAAGGGNAAGAAGAAGAAGAAGAAGUAGAAGAAGAAGAAAAGGAAGGAAUAAGAAGAAGAAGAAUAAAAGGAAGAAGAGGAAAAAAUGAAGAUGAAGAAGAAGAAAACGAAACCCUCACACCACGACACCCGACACGAUGCCCCGAAACCCCGACACGACAUCUCGACGACACCCCGACACGAAAUAUUAUUUUAUGGAACCCUAGAUGACAUCUAUAUAGGUCAUACAUUUGUGUUAGGUCAUAUAUUUUUCGAUUUUAUUAGUGAACACAAAAUAUUUGUGUUGAUCGAGUGGAUUUACAUGUGAUAGUUAUCUCGUCGCUGUGAGCUCUGCUGUGCGAAGACCUCCCCGUGCGUUCUACGAGCUCCGCCCCUACAUUUGUGGGCGAGUACAAAUGUCAUCUCCUCCUUGCCCCUUCAUUUUCUGUGGGUCGGUCUUCGGAUGAAACUUGCUAGAUAUAGGUAAUUAAAUUAAUUUAUUAGUAUGCGUGACCAGUAUGCGUCUCCCGUUCGAAAGGGUUACAGUUAUAAAUAUGCAUGCAUUUGCAUAUAUUUAUAACCGUGAUUCUUCCGAAUUGUCCAACGUUAUCCAUGGACAACCCGAGUAUGUGUAGAUUGGGUUCAUUUUCCCAUAUGCUUUGUUCCGGAUCCGAUGCAUAAUUUCGUCAGUGCCUCCAUGUUGUUCUUCGGAUACACAUCCUCUCUCUUUAUUGCGGAGACAUGUAUCAGGAGAACAGCAGGGAGGUGGCGCCGAAAUUUUGUGUUGGAUCCAGAGCAGAGCAUGGGAAAAUGAACCCAAUCUACACAUACUCGGGUGGGAUUAGGACAUAUUUUUACCUAUUAGCGUGUAGGUUGCAUGGACAUAAUAAAACUGGUGGACUUGAUUUGAAGCAGGAGUGCCGCGGAAAGUAUGUGAAGAAGGAGCAGUACAUGAAGGUAAUCACCUAUUAUUAAGGCCUUGCAUGUAGUUUUCUUGAUUUGAUUCAUAGGCGUAGCGCUCAAAAUUCUUUCUAAUAACUUAUAGGUGCCCCCGAGAUGGUGUACAGAUAAGAUGAAUUGUUGGGAAGCGUUGGUGGAUGAGUGGUGCACAUGAAACUGGCGAGCCGUCCAUGACAAUGUGAAGGAUCGGCGUAGCCAAAUGGUUGGUGUGCCACACCAUCAAGGCAGCGCCAACUUACUUCAGUUCGGACGAAACUGGGUAUGUGGUUUGCUUCAUGAUUCAUGCUAUUCAUUCUUCAUGCUAGCUUGAGCCCCUUACUAAUACUUUGUUCCUCUCUUUUAGGCGCAUCACAAUAAGACGGAGAUGCCAGAGUUGUACGACCUUUAUGGCAUGGCCCAUACUGCCUCCUACAAGAAGGCGAAAGCAUUCUCUGAGUCUGACAUGGAUGAUCCAAAGAACUUCACCAACAUCUCAUCCCACCACAAGCUCAUGAAAUACAGGGACGUGGGGAAGGCUUGGAAAGCAGAGGACUUUAACCCGAGCCAAGAACCUUUGGAUCCAGAGCUGGUGAUGAUAUCUGGUGGCGGGAGGCCCCAUGGCUCGAUAGCCAUUGGAAAUGGGAUAAUACAUUGUCCACUCACUCUCCCGGAGAUCAAGGCGCGCCAAUCGAGCUCCUCUCUUGAGAUAACGCCUCGUCCACGGCCAGUCGAUCUUGCCAUCGAGGUUAGUUGUAUGAACUCAGAAAACUUUCAUCCAUUUCAUUGUGUGUGUGUGGCCAUCGAUCAUUAAUGUGGUAACGAGGAAUGGUGUUGCAGGUUGCUCUUCAAAAAGAGAGAGCGGCAAACGAGGUUGCUCUUGCGAAAGAGAGAUUGGCAAGCCAGGCUGCUCUUCAAGCUGCUCUUGAGGAGAGGGACCGGACCACGACUAGGUUGAUUGAGGAGGAGAGGGACCGGAAUGAGGCGGGUCACCUGGCCAGGUAUGAGCUUAUUGUGGUAAGUUUCUUUUUAAUAUUAGCCAAAUCAUUUGUGUAAUGUUUGUUUCAUUACUAACUAAUACGACCGACUCUUGAAAACCAAAUGUGCAGGCUAUGUGCGAGAAGACCGGUCAAGCGCCUCCGUCGAUGCCCGUCUUCUCUGUGAUUGGCACGGUGAGUUUCAUUUUAAUGGUCAUUAUAAAGUAGUAUUAAAAACUGAGCAUCAUCAUGCUAACUCAGACAUUGCAAAAUAUCUUUUCUGCAGUUAAAGUCCCGAGCGGCAUCGCAUGACCCUUCUUCAUCGCAUGGUGCUUCUCCUCCUUGAUGACCACGACGGUAAGUUUUCUCUAGUUCAAUUAUGACAUAAUUAGCUAGUUUAGCUCGAAAAAGACAUACUUAGCUAAUUUAGCUCCAAAAUGACAUACAUAGCUAGUUUAGCUCCAAGAAGAGGACAAGAGGAGAAGAAAGAGGAAAAAUGAAAACAAGAAGGAAGAAUAAGAAGAAGAGAAGAAGAAGAGAGGAAGAAGGAGAAGGAGGAGAAGAAGGAGAGCCCUCCUCCUUCUCCUUCUUCUUCUCCUUCUUCUUCUCUCCUCCUUCUCCUACUUCUUCUACUUCUUAUUCUCUUCUUGCAUCUUCUCUUUCUUCUUCUACGUAGCUUAUUUCCCCAACAAAGACAUACUUAGCUAACUAUCCUCCAAAAUGACAUAAUUAGUUUAGUUAGGUAAAAAAAUCAUAAGAACCUUGGUUAGCUCAUAACUUAAAUAAUUUAGCUCUAAAAUGACAUAAUAAGCUCAAAAUGGCAUAAAAACCUUGGUUAGCUCAUGAAUAUUAUAUACUUAGCUUGUUUUCCUCUAAAAUGACAUAAUUAGCCCAUUUAGUUCCAAAAAUACAUGCUUAGCUAAUUUAGUUCCAAGAACAGGAGAAGAGGAGAAAUGAAAAGAGGUAAGAAGAAGAAGAAGAAGAAGAAGAGAAUAAGAAGGAGAAGAAGAAGGAGAAGGAGGAAAAGAAGGAUAAGGAGUCAUACUUCUACUCCUUCUUCUCCUUCUUCUUCUCCUUCUUCUCCUUCUUCUUCUCCUCCUGUUUCUUCUCCUCUUUCAUAUUUUUCUUACCUUAUUUUCCCCAACAAUGACAUAAUUAGCUCAUUUAUCUUCAAAAAUACAUAUUUAGCUAAUUUAUCUCCAAGAAGAGGACAAGAGGAGAAGAAAGAGGAAAAUAAAAAGAAGGAAGAAGAAGAAGAAGAGAAGAAGAAGGAGAAGGAGCCCUCCUUCUCCUUCUUAUUCUCUCCUCCUUCUUCUUCUCAUUCUUCUUCUCUUAUUAUUUUCUUCUUAUUCUUCUCCUCCUCCUUCUCCUUCUCCUCCUCCUCCUCCUCCUCCUCCUUCUUCUUCUACUUCUUCUUCUUCUUCUUCUUCUUCUUCUCAUUCUUCUUCUCUUCUUGCUUGUUCUCUUUCUUCUUCUACGUAGCUUAUUUUCCCCAACAAAGACAUACUUAGCUAAUUAUCCUACAAAAUGACAUAAUUAGCUAAGUUAGGUCAAAUCAUCAUAAGAACCUUGGUUAGCUCAUAACUUAGCUAAUUUAGCUCCAAAAUGACAUAAUAAGCUCAAAAUGGCAUAAGAACCUUGGUUAGCUCAUGAAUAUUAUAUACUUAGCUUGUUUUCCUCUAAAAUGACAUAAUUAGCCCAUUUAGCUCCAAAAAGACAUACUUAGCUAAUUUAGCUCCAAGAAGAUGAGAAGAGGAGAAAUGAAAAGAAGGAAGAAGAAGAAGAAGAAGAAGAGAAGAAGAAGAGAAGAAGAAGGAGAAGAAGAAGGAGAAGGAGGAGAAGAAGGAGAAGGAGUCCUACUUCUCCUCCUUAUUCUCCUUCUUCUUCUCCUUCUUGUUCUUCUCCUCCUCUUUCUUCUCCUCUUUCAUAUUAUCCUUACCUUAUUUUCCCCAACAAUGACAUAAUUAGCCAAUUUAUCUCCAAAAAGACAUACUUAGCUAAUUUAGCUCCAAGUAGAGGACAAGAGGAGAAGAGAGAGAAAAAAUGAAAAGAAGGAAGAAGAAGAGGAAGAAGAAGAGAAGAAGAAGAGAAGAAGAAGGAGAAGGAGUAGAAGAAGGAGAAGGAGCCCUCCUUCUUCUCCUUCUUCUUCGCUCCUCCUUCUUCUCCUUCUUAUUCUCCUGUUUCUUCUCUUCUUCUUUUCUUCUUCUCCUCCUCCUCCUCCUUCUCCUUCUCCUUCUCCUUCUCCUUCUCCUUCUCCUCCUCCCCCCCUCCUUCUUCUUCUUCUUUGUUUUAUUUUCCUUCUUCUUCUCUUCUUGCUUCUUAUAUUUCCUCUUCUACGUAGCUUAUUUUCCCCAACAAAGACAUACUUAUCUAAUUAUCCUCCAAAAUGACAUAAUUAGCUUAGUUAGGUGAAAACAUCAUAAGAACCUUGGUUACCUUGUAACUUAGCUAAUUUAGCUCCAAAAUGACAUAAUAACCUCAAAAUGGCAUAAGAACCUUGGUUAGCUCAUGAAUGUUAUAUACUUAGCUUGUUUUCCUCUAAAAUCACAUAAUUAGCCCAUUUAGCUCCAAAAAUACAUACUUAGCUAAUUUAGCUCCAAGAAGAGGAGAAGAGGAGAAAUGAAAAGAAGGAAGAAGAAGAAGAAGAAGAAGAGAAGAAGAAGAGAAGAAGAAGGAUAAUAAGAAGGAGAAGGAGGAGAAGAAGGAGAAGGAGUCCUACUUCUCCUCCUUCUUCUCCUGACUCCUUCUCCUUCUUCUCCUCCUUCUCCUUCUUCUUAUCCUUAUUCUUCUUCUCCUCCUCUUUCUUUUCCUCUUUCAUAUUCUCCCUACCUUAUUUUCCCCAACAACGACAUAAUUAGCCCAUUUAGCUCCAAAAAGACAUACUUAGCUAAUUUAGCUCCAAGAAGAGGACAAGAGGAGAAGAAAGAGGAAAAAUGAAAAGAAGGAAGAAAAAAAAGAGAAGAAGAAGAGAAGAAGAAGGAGAAGGAUGAGAAGAAGGAGAAGGAGCCCUCCUUCUUCUCAUUGUUGUUCUCUCCUCCUUCUUCUCCUUCUUCUUCUCCUUCUCCUUCUCUUCUUAUUUUCUUCUUCUUCUCCUCAUCCUCCUCCUCCUCCUUCUUCUUUUUCUUCUCAUUCUUCUUCCCUUCUUGCUUCUUCUCUUUCUUCUUCUACGUAGCUUAUUUUCCCCAACAAAGACAUACUUAGCUAAUUAUCCUCCAAAAUGACAUAAUUAGCUUAGUUAGGUAAAAACAUCAUAAGAACCUUGGUUAGCUCAUAACUUAGCUAAUUUAGCUCCAAAAUGACAUAAUAAGAUCAAAAUGGCAUAAGAACCUUGGUUAGAUCAUGAAUAUUAUAUACUUAGCUUCUUUUCCUCUAAAAUGACAUAAUUAGCCCAUUCAGCUCCAAAAAGACAUACUUAGCUAAUUUAGCUCCAAGAAGAGGAGAAUAGGAGAAAUGAAAAGAAGGAAGAAGAAGAAGAAGAAGAAGAAGAAGAGAAGAAGAAGAGAAGAAGAAGGAGAAGAAGAAGGAUAAGGAGGAGAAGGAGGAGGAGAAGUUCUGGAGAAGGAGGAGGAGAAGUAGGAACUUCUUCUCCUCCUUCUCCUUCUUCUCCUUCUUCUUCUUUUCUUCUUCUUCUUCUCCUCCUCUAUCUUAUCCUCUUUCAUAUUCUCCUUACCUUAUUUUCCCCAACAAUGACAUAAUUAGCCCAUUUAGCUCCUAAAAGACAUAAUAAGCUCAAAAUGGCAUAAGAACCUUGGUUAGGUCAUGAAUAUUAUAUACUUAGCUUAUUUUCCUCUAAAAUGACAUAAUUAUCUUAGUUAGGUCAAAAAUGGCGUAAGAACCUUUGCUACCUCAUAAAUGUGAGAUAGUUAGCUUAUUUCCAUCCAAAUUGACAUAAUUAGCUUAGUUAGGUCAAUAAUGGCAUAAUAACCUUGGUUAGCUCAAAAGGUCAUAUACUUAGCUUAUUUUCCUCCACAGUGAAAUAAUAAGCUCAAAAAUGUCAUAUGUUGUUGUUCUUCUUCUUCUCACUUUCUUAUUCCCAUUUUACAGAUUGGAUGUACUACAUGCAUAUAAUCUGGCAUUGAUGGAGCGCUUUAGUUCUAGUUUUCAUUUGAGUUGAUGAACAAUGUGGAACUAUAUGUAUAUGUAUACAUGGAUGAAUAGUAUAUGUGGAACUAUAUGUAUAUGUAUAUAUAUGGAUGAAACUUUGUAUAUGUUGGUUCUUUCGAUAUAUGGGAUGUACAUUGAUGAACAAAUGGCAUUGAUGAACUUUAUAUGUAUAUCAUAUAUGUGUUGUGACCUAUAUAUCAUAUAUGUGAUAUGAAUUAUAUAUAUAUGUGAUGUGAAAUAACAUAAAAAACAAAACUCUGACAAUAUGGGCUCUUUGUCGUCUGCCAGCUGGCAGCAGACGGCAAAGGUGCCACGUGGCACCCAGCUGUCCAACCUGGGGCAACAGCAGCUGACCCAUAUAGGCUCUUUGCCAUCCUCUACCCUACGCUGGCAGACGACACAGAGCCUGAGGGAGGCAGACGACACAGAGCCUGAGGGAGGCAGACGACACAUAAUAUGAGGGAGGCAGACAGCAAAGAGUAUGAGCAACCCGCCGGGCCAACUGAGGGCUGGCCCAUAUAGGCAGACGGCAAAGCUAAGGGAGCGAGGCAGACGACAAAGAUGAUGAGGGAGGCAGACGACAAAGCCUCCGUUAGCCCUAACGGAGGCGUUGCCUGUCGGCUGCCGUCUAAAGAUGUUUGUCGUCUGCUCGGUACCAAAUGCUGACGGCAAAGGCCAUUGUCGUCCGCUUUUGGCAGACAAACGGCAAAGAAGGUGCUAUGCCAUCGAAAGUAGUCAUAGGAACUUUGCCGACAGGAGGCAGACGGCAAAGACCUUUACCAUCGGUGGAACACCUCUUUGCCAUCUGUUAUGGCAGACGACAAAGUGUCUGAUUCCUGUAGUGAUAGCAAAAUAUCAUUGGGAAAUAAUAUAUGGAGUUGAGCACCAUGUUUAAGUAGAGAUUACAGCGGGGAGAAGGGGUGUUAUGCCUCUGCAUAGAGGGGGAGAAAGUUUGUGUUGACGGCAGCAAGGUUGUUGAUGUAGAUCGCUGUCACGAUCCUAGCCCCGGCGGCACUCCGAUGCCACCGGGAGAGAGGGGGAGUGAGCCCCCUCCUUCUUAUCCUUCCUUAGCCUCCCCCUAGAUGGGAGGAGAGUUCCCCCUCUCAUCCAUGGCCUCCAUGGUGGCGGAGGGGCGGGAGCCCCUCUGAGAUUGGAUAUCCCUCUUUGUUCUCUUCUGUUUCGUGCUUCUUCUCCGUCCUAGAUUCUGGCGUUUCACUGUUUCUUAUAUUCGCGGAGAUCUGUAACUCCGAUUGCGCUGAAAUUUUUACACGAUUUUUCCCAUAAAUUAUCUUUCUUGCGGUAGAAGAAGGGCUCCAACCGACAUCCGAGGAGGGCACCAGACACCAGGGAGCGCCUGGGGCCUGGGGCAUGCCCUGGUGGGUUGUGGGCUUUGUGGGACCCCGUUUGCAUUGAUUCCACCUCUCAAAAAUCACAUAAAUUCCAAAAUAAUUCUCCAUAAAUUUUUAUCAUGUUUGGACUUCGUUUGAUAUGGAUCUUCUGUGAUACAAAAACAUGCAAAUAGAACAUGAACUGGCAUUAGGCACUAAAUCAAUAGGUUAAUCGCAUAAAUCAUAUAAAAAGCUGGCCAAAAUUAUGUGAAAGUUGUAUAAUAUUGGCAUGAAAAAAUCAAAAAUUAUAGAUACAACGGAGACAUGUCAGUAUACUAUGGAACGAUCGUAGAGAUUUGGGAUCUUGACUAUGUGGAAGUGAUGGUCGCAUUAUUCAAGUGAAGAUGGCUCCCUCUUGGUCAGGUAAAUGUUGAUGCUUCGUGGACCCCUUGUGUGUGGAGCCUCCGUGGACUCUCGCAGCCGAUACCCUUCGUGGGUUGAAGUCUCCACUAACAUGGACGUACGAUAGUGCCACCUAUCGGAACCAUGCCAAAAAUCACUGUGUUCAUCUUUGCGUUUGAUCUUCCUAAACUCUACUCCUUACUUACAUGUGCAAUGUAUUUACUUUCGGCUGCCAUAUUUGUUGACUAGCAUGUGUAGGGUGCACUAGACUUGUUAGAUUUGCUAAAAUCUACCAACCAUUAAAAUUGGAAAAGGCUAGGAUUUUAAUUCAUGCAAGUAGUCUAUUCACCCCUCCCCUCUAGACACCCGUUCUAUCGAUCCAACACUAUGAAACUUUUUGACGUUUUUUCUAAUCAAAAGGCGACUUGGAGGCUUUGUAAGGAGACCACACGACAGAGGAGGAUACCGGAAGACAACAUGGCACGUCUAGGGGUAUGCAUGCCAUGAUACCUUGUGGGGCCCUCGUGGCUCCGCCUGACCUAAUUCCACCUUCAUAAAUUCUCUAAAAUCGGGAAACCAACAAAGAGCCACCCGGAACACUUUUCCACCGCCACAAGUUUGUGUUCCGAUUGGAGGCCAUCUAGAGACCUUUUACAAUGCCCUGUUGGAGGGGAAAUUGAUCAUCGAGGCCAUCUAGAGACCUUUUACAAUGCCCUGCUGGAGGGGAAAUUGAUCACAGAGGCCAUCUACAUCAACCUUGUCGCCUCCACGAUGAUAUGUGAGUAUUCCACCACAUACCUACGGGUCUAUAGCUAGUACCUAGAUGGUUUCUUCUCCCUCUUUGAUCUUCAAUACAAAGUUCACCGCAAUUCCCGCGGUCAUCGACUCUAUGUAAUCCUCUUUUGCGGUGUGUUUGUUGGGAUCUGUUGAACUAUGACUUUAUGGUCAGAUUAUUCAUGAAUAUUAAUUGAGUCUUAUCUGAAAUAUUUUAUGCAUGAUUAUUAUACCUUCGUAUUUCUAUCCAAUAUAUCAGUUUAGUUUGCCCAACUAGAAUGCUUUAUCUUAAGUGGGAGUGGUGCGUUGUGAUGGGUUCAAUCUUGUGUUGCUCAAUCCCAGUGACAGAAAGGGACACGAAACAUAUUGCAUUGCUGCCAUUAAGGAUAAAACGAUGGGGUCUAAACAUAUUGCUUGUCUCACUUUGUCAACAUCAUGUCAUCUUGCUCCAAGCAUUAGUCUAUUUCAUACUUAAUACUCUAUAUGCAUGUAGGAUAGCGGUCGAUGAGAGGAGUAAUAAUAGUAGAUGCAGACAGGAGUGAGUCUACUUGUUUAUGGACGUGAUGCCUAUAUACAUGAUCAUUGCCUUGAAUAAAAUGUCAUAACUAUGCACUAUUCUGUCAACUGCCCAACGACAAUUUGUUUAGCCACCGCAUUAUAUGUUCAAGAAAGAAUCCUCUAGCAAAAACUAUGGCCCUUGGUUCUAGUUAAAUAUAUUUAAUAAAACUCACUUUACCUUGCUGCAAUUUAUUUACUUUUAUAUUUAUCCUAUCUAUCUAUCAAUAUUUAAUCCUUGCAAGUAACUAGUUCAAGGGGCUUGACAACCCUCUUGCCCAUGUUGGGAGCAAGUGUUUGGUUAUGUGUGUGUAGGUGCUACUAAAAAGGUUUGUGUGAUUCUCCUGUUGGUUCGAUAACCUUGGUUCUCAAUGAGGGAAAUACUUAUCUCUGAUGCGUUGCAUCUCCUCUCCUCUUUAGGAAAAACCCAACACAGUUUACAAGUAGCAGUACCGAGUUCAAGGGCCUUGACAACCCUCUUGCCCGUGUUGGGUGCAAGUGUUUGGUUUUGUGUGUGUAGGUGUUGACGAUGAGAGUUUGCUUGACUCUCCUACUAGUUCGAUAACCUUGGUUUUCACUAAGGUAAGCACUUAUCUCUACUAUAUUGCUUCACCCUUCCUCUUCGGGAAAAAUCCAACGCAACUCACAAGUAGCAAUAAACUAUGUGACUGGAAUCUUAUUCUCACUUGGAGGGCCACUACACUUGAGGAGGAAAAUCAUAUUCUGAAAGGAAUUAACGCCAAGAAUGUGUGAGCACCACCACCGAAGAAGGAGACUUGAGUACACUGUUAGGGAACUACCCUUGGCUUGUUCCAAACAUGGGGUAGGUGCCCCAACAUCGUAUCGCCAUCACUUUGAUCAUUACUAUAUGUCUUACUUCGAUCCUUAGUGUUUAGUGAUUUGGAAAAAGUUUGAAUUAGUUUUCGAGUGCUUGAUUUAUGAUCGUUCUAUGUAUGUAAUCGUGUGUGGGAGUUAUAUAAUAAAGAGUAGUAUGAGUAUCUUUCGCUUCACUUCGGCUACUUCAGUUUUAGCAAAAGUAAUGAUAGAUCGUAUGCUAAUACCAUGGGGAGCAAUGACUUUACUAAAAAGAAGAGUGAUUGAUAAAUUUUGUUGGAAGGUAACAAACAUAACAUUGGUCGUUGGGGCAACUCAUGAAAGAAUAAUAAGGGAAGAAGAUCUUCACAUAUAGAUAUGUUAUCUUGGACAUAUUAUAUGAUUGUGAACUCCCAUUGGUUAUUUUUAAACUUGAUCAAAUAGUUGAUGUUGGACAAGGAAAACAACUUAACGGGUUAUGUUUGCCUAUAUUUGCAUAGAAGAUAUACUGUCAUGGAUCCUCUAACGUGCGAUACUUGUUAUAGUAUAUGUGGACUGCACUAGCCCUUUCCAUCAGUUCGGACUUUUGGUUGCGUUGGCUAGUGCAUGAAUCUUAUCAUGGUAUUGGAGCUAAGGUCUGGCUUUCGCAAUUUAUUAAAAACUCAAAAUUGAUACUCAAGUCCUGGCUUUCGCAAUUUAUUAAAAAUCUGAUCAAGUCCUAGCUAUCGCAAUUUAUUAAAAAUUGAUGGUAGCCCCCCUUUGUGUCCACGUAGAGGCCUCUUGAGUCAUACGUGAGUUUCGUGCACCGUCGCUCUCUUUCGGUUGCACAUGUUGACUUGCUUUCCCCGUCACACGUGAGAGGGGGUGUUAGAGUAUAUGUGGAUUGCACUAGCACUUUCCAUCAGUUCAGACUUUUGGUUCCGUUGGCUAGUGCAUGAAGCUUAUCAAUGCUUGCUUAUAAUCUUUGCUAGCCAAAAUUUCGUACUAAGUGCAGAUACUACUUAUGCACCCAAACACCCUUAAACUCAGUCUCUUGUCAUGAGAGUCCACCAUAUCUACCUACGAAUUGAAUAAGAUCCUUCAAGUAAGUUAUCAUCGGUGUAAAGUGCUACGGUGACAGAAAUCCUUCUGUUGCCUCUUGAGCUUGCGUCGGUUAUUUCCCUUGAAGAGGAAAGGGUGGUGUAGCACAGGAGCAGUAAGUAUUUCCCUCAGUUUGAGAACCAAGGUAUCAAUCCAGUAGGAGAAUCACGCCAAGUCCAGAGUACCUGCGCAAACACAAAAGAGCUUGCACCCAACGCUAUAAAGGGGUUGUCAAUCCCUUCAAGAUUGAUUGUAAAGUGAGAUAUGAAGAUUGUGCAACAUGUUCAUGAACAAGUUGCUUAAAAUUCAUAAUAUCAUUACGGAGAGAGAUAAUCAUUGCCGGCGGAAAAUACUUGGAUAUGUAAGCAUCUUUGCACUUAUUCCAAGAAUCAAUACUAUUUUUGGGCAAAGACGAAAACCAAGUUUUUGCUCGAUCUCGCAACAAGAAAAGAAAAAGCUUCAAUUUAAUCACAUCAUUAUCCACAUAUUUAUUCUUUUGCAUAUCACAAAGCUCAAUGAAGGUAUUAAUAUGGGAUGCGCCAUCUUCACUAGGAAGGCCGGAGAAUCGCUCUUUCAUAACAAGAUUCAGCAAAGCAACAUUGAUUUCGUAUGAUUCCGCACUAGUGGCGGGAGCAAUCGGAGUACUAAUAAAAUCAUUAUUAUUAGUAUUCGAGAAGUCACAAAGUUUGGUGUUUUCAGUCAUGGUGACUUCAGCAAGCAAGCAAGCACACAAGCAAACAGAAAGCAAGCGAGAGAAAAAGGGCAAACGAAAAAGGCAAAUAUUUUUGUAAUUUUUUGUUUUUCAGAAGUGGGGGAGAGGAAAAUGAGAGGAAAAAAAAGUAAAUGCAAGAGAUGAGUUUGCGACACUUACUUGGAUGAUUUCUUGACUUGAUCCUCCCCGACAACGACGUUAGAAAUUGGCACGUUGACGGGAGAGUAUUCUUGACUUGAUCCUCCCCGGCAACGGCGCCAGAAAAUCUUCUGCUACGGCGACAGAAAUCCUUCUGUUGCCUCUUGAGUUUGCGUCGGUUUUUCCCUUGAAGAGGAAAGGGUGGUCCAGCACAGGAGCAGUAUUUCCCUCAGUUUGAGAACCAAGGUAUCAAUCCAGCACGAGAAUCGCACCAAGUCCAGAGUACGUGCGCAAACACAAAAGAGCUUGCACCCAACUCUAUAAAGGGGUUGUCAAUCCCUUCAAGAUUGAUUGCAAAGUGAGAUCUGAAGGCAGAAAGUGCAACAAAGUAAAAUUGUAAGGCUGAAAAUAUGGUGUGAAGUAGACCCAGGGGCCAUAGUGUUCACUAGAGGCUUCUCUCAAAAUAGCAAAUAAUACGGUGGGUGAACAAAUUACUGUCGAGCAAUUGAUAGAACCGCGCAAAGUCAUGACGAUAUCUAAGGCAAUGAUCAUACAUAUAGGCAUCACGUCCGAGACAAGUAGACCGNNNNNNNNNNNNNNNNNNNNNNNNNNNNNNNNNNNNNNNNNNNNNNNNNNNNNNNNNNNNNNNNNNNNNNNNNNNNNNNNNNNNNNNNNNNNNNNNNNNNNNNNNNNNNNNNNNNNNNNNNNNNNNNNNNNNNNNNNNNNNNNNNNNNNNNNNNNNNNNNNNNNNNNNNNNNNNNNNNNNNNNNNNNNNNNNNNNNNNNNNNNNNNNNNNNNNNNNNNNNNNNNNNNNNNNNNNNNNNNNNNNNNNNNNNNNNNNNNNNNNNNNNNNNNNNNNNNNNNNNNNNNNNNNNNNNNNNNNNNNNNNNNNNNNNNNNNNNNNNNNNNNNNNNNNNNNNNNNNNNNNNNNNNNNNNNNNNNNNNNNNNNNNNNNNNNNNNNNNNNNNNNNNNNNNNNNNNNNNNNNNNNNNNNNNNNNNNNNNNNNNNNNNNNNNNNNNNNNNNNNNNNNNNNNNNNNNNNNNNNNNNNNNNNNNNNNNNNNNNNNNNNNNNNNNNNNNNNNNNNNNNNNNNNNNNNNNNNNNNNNNNNNNNNNNNNNNNNNNNNNNNNNNNNNNNNNNNNNNNNNNNNNNNNNNNNNNNNNNNNNNNNNNNNNNNNNNNNNNNNNNNNNNNNNNNNNNNNNNNNNNNNNNNNNNNNNNNNNNNNNNNNNNNNNNNNNNNNNNNNNNNNNNNNNNNNNNNNNNNNNNNNNNNNNNNNNNNNNNNNNNNNNNNNNNNNNNNNNNNNNNNNNNNNNNNNNNNNNNNNNNNNNNNNNNNNNNNNNNNNNNNNNNNNNNNNNNNNNNNNNNNNNNNNNNNNNNNNNNNNNNNNNNNNNNNNNNNNNNNNNNNNNNNNNNNNNNNNNNNNNNNNNNNNNNNNNNNNNNNNNNNNNNNNNNNNNNNNNNNNNNNNNNNNNNNNNNNNNNNNNNNNNNNNNNNNNNNNNNNNNNNNNNNNNNNNNNNNNNNNNNNNNNNNNNNNNNNNNNNNNNNNNNNNNNNNNNNNNNACAAAAACAGAAUCUGUCAAAAACAGACCAAUCUGUAGCAAUCUGUAUACUUAGUAUACUUCUGGUACCUAAACAAUUCUGAAAAAUUAUGACUACUUGGGAAAUGGGCAUAUCAACCAGAAGCAAAAGAAAUCAACUCAAAAGAUCUUUCUGAAUAAAAAUGAAAAAUAAUCUCGUGAGCGACAAAUUUCUGUCUUUUUCAGCACGAUCAAACAACCAUCACCAAGACUAGUCAUAAAGGUUUUGCUUGGCUCAAACACAAAAAGAAACACAAAAUACACAAUCAUAACAGAAUUAUGAUGGUGUGGACGCAACAAAACAGAAAUAAAAAAGAUAAAUUCAUUGGGUUGCCUCCCAACAAGCGCUAUUGUUUAACGCCCUUAGCUAGGCAUAAUGUGAUAGAAUCACGUAUCGUCGUCUUUGGUGCUCAAACCAUAAGUAGACCUCAUCAUAGAUUCAUAAGGCAAUAUUAUUUUCUUUCUAGGAAAAUGUUCCAUGACCUUCUUCAAAGGAAAUUGAAAUCUAAUAUUCCCUUCCUUCAUAUCGAUGAUAGCACCGAUAGUCCUUAGGAAAGGUCUACCAAGAAUGAUAGGGCAUGUAGGAUUGCAAUCAGUGUCAAGCACAAUGAAAUCCAUGGGUACAUAGUUCCUAUUUGCAAUAAUAAGAACAUCAUUUAUCCUUCCCAUGGGUUUCUUGACAGUAGAAUCCGCAAGAUGCAAAUUAAGAGAACACUCCUCAAUCUCAUUAAAACCCAGAACAUCACAUAAAGACUUUGGAAUCGCGGAAACACUAGCACCCAAAUCACACAAAGCAUUGCAUUCAUAGUUUUUGAUUUUGAUUUUGAUAGCAGGUUCCCACUCAUCAUGAAGCUUUCUAGGGAUAGAAACUUCCAAUUCAAGUUUCUCUUCAAGAGAUUUUAUCAUAGCAUCGACGAUAUGAUCGGUAAAGGCCUUGUUUUGGCUAUAAGCGCGUGGAGAGUUUAGCAUGGAUUGCAUCAAGCAAAUGCAUUCAAUCAAGGAGCAACUAUCAUAAUUGAAUUCCUUGAAAUCCAAAGUAGUAGUUUCAUUACUACUCAAGGUGUUAAUAUCUUCUACUCCACUUUCAAUGCUUUUAGCAUCAAGAUAGAUGGACUCCGAAUCAUUGGGACGUUUUUCAAUCAAAGUGGAUUCAUAUCCAGCCCCAUCAUCAUUAGGUUUGACACAAGAAAACAAAGAUUCAAUGGGAGUCACACCAAGCACUUUAAGAUCUUCGUGAUUCUUAUCACGAGAACACGCCCUUUUAAGCCAUUCAUGUCUAGCAUGAAUUUGGGCGAUUUUUUCUUUGCUUUCACUCAUGGAAACAUGCAUAGAUUUCAAAGUUUCAUCCAUAUUGAUCUUAGGAGGAGCACAUUGAUAACCCACAACUGUAGGGGAUCGCAACAUUUUUCAAGGGUAGAGUAUUCAACCCAAAUUUGUUGGUUCGCCAAAGGGGAAGCGAAAGAAUAUUCUCAAGUAUUAGCAGCUGAGCUUGUCAGAUUCAACCACACCUGAAAGAUUAGUGUCUGCAAGCAAAGCAUCAGUAACAAAGUAGUAUGAUAGCAACGGUGCCAGAAACAGAUCUGUUGACGGCAGACUAUUCCUAACUGUUGUAUCAAUGGCGCUAGUGUUGCACGUGGACGGGGAACUAUUCUUCCCCGCAAACUGUGAUGAAAAAGGAUCUUGCAACAAGUAACAACGAAGUAGCAAGGAACAACAGUAGCAACAACAGUAGAGUAACAGCAGUAGCAACAGUAGUAGCAAAGUGGCCCAAUCCCUUUUGUAGCAAGGGACAAGCCUGGACAAAGUAACAUAGCAAGGACGAGUAGUAAAAGACUCAUAGGUAGUGGAUCGGUGAUGGAUGAGUAUGACGGAUGUGAUUCAUCAUGUAACAGCUAUAACACGGAGAGAUAUGUAACUAGCUCCCGUUUGUCAAUCUAAUGUAGGCAUGUAUUCCGUAUGUAGUCAUACGUGCUUAAGGAAAAGAACUUGCAUGACAUCUAUUGUCCAUCCCUCCCGUGGCAGCGGGGUCCUAAUGGAAACUACGGGAUAUUAAGGUUCUCCUUUUAAUAAAGAACCGGACCAACGCAUUAACACGUGGUUAAUACAUGAACUCCUCAUACUAUGGUCAUCCCCGGGAGUGGUUCCGGCUAUUGUCACUCCGGGUUGCCGGGUCAUAACACAUAGUAGGUGACUACAACUUGCGAGAUAGGAUCUAAAACACACAUAUAUUGGCGACAACAUAAUAGGUUCAUAUCUGAAAUCAUGGCACUCGGGCCCUAGUGACAAGAAUUAAGCAUGGCAAAGUAGUAGCAACAUCAAUCUCAGAACAUAGUGGAUACUAGGGAUCAAUCCCCGUCAAAACUACCUCGAUUACAUGAUAGAUCUCAUCCAACUCAUCACCAUCUAGCAAGCCUGCGAUGAGAUUACUCACGAACGAUGAAGAGCAUCAUGGAAUUGGCGAUGGAGGAAGGUUGAUGAUGACGAUGGUGACGAUUUCCCCUCUCCGGAGCCCAAAACGGACUCCAGAUCUGCCCUCGAGAUGAAGAACAGGAGGUGGCGGCGCCUCCGUAUCAUAAAACGCGAUGAAACCUUCUCUUUGAUUUUUUUUCGGGCGAGACGGAAGAUAUAGAGCUGAGUUUGGGGGCGAUGGUGCCACGUGGGCCCCACAAGCCCUCACGGCGCGGCCUAGGGGGUGGCCGCGGCCCAUGGGCUUGUGGCCCACUAGCACGCCCCCUCCGGUGGAUCUUUGUGCAGGUAUUUUUCUUUUAUUCCAAAAAAAUUCUACGUAAAUUUUCAGGACAUUCCGAGAACUUUUGUUUCUGCACAAAAACAACACCAUGGCAAUUCUAGUGAAAACAACGUUAGUCUGGGUUAGUUCCAUUCAAAUCAUGUAAAUUAUAGUCCAAAACAAGGGCAAAAGAGUUCGGAAAAGUAGAUACGAUGGAGACGUAUCAACUCCCCCAAGCUUAAAGCCUUGCUUGUCCUCAAGCAAUUCAGUUGACAAACUGAAAGAGACAAAAGAAAAACUUUGACAAACUCUGUUUGAUCUUGUUGUUGCAACUAUGUCUAACUCAUAACCAGAAUUUCAGCAAGAUCACAAGCGAACCACAUAAGCAAAUGACAUCUAGGUCUCAUGGUAAACUCAUAUCAAUGGCAUAAUCAACUAGCGAGCAAAUAAUAAUAAGUCUCAAACAUCAACACUUCAAUCAAAACAACAUGAAGCAGUACGAAUAGAUGGUAUCUCGCUAGCUCUUUCUGAGACCGCAAAACAUAAAUGCAGAGCACCUUCAAAGACCAAGGGCUGACUAAGCAUUGUAAUUCAAGGCAAUGAAGAUCCAGUCACAGUCAUACUCAACACAGUUAAAAGCAAAGCAUAAAAAUGACAGAGGUUCUCUGUAAUUGGUGCUUUUAUAAGAGGAGGAUGACUCAAAAUGAACAUAAAUAGACAUGCCCUUCGCAAAGGGAAGCAUUGAUUUGCAAAGGUGCCAGAGCUCAAGCUUUGAAAACAGAGAUAAUAAUUUUGGGUGGCAUGCUUCAUUGUCAAAGCAAUGACUAAGAGUUCUCAACAUCUUCCACGCUACACAUGCUAUAGGCGGUUCCCAAACAGAAAAGUAAAGUUUUGACUCCCCCACCACCAAUCAAUCACACUCCACGGCUAGCCGAAUCCUCGGGUACCGUCCAUACCAACAUCAAUCCUGGGGGAGUUUUGCUUGCAAUUAUCUUUUCGAUUUGAGCAUGGAACUGGGAAUUCCAAUUACCGCCCCCUUUCUCGUGAAUGAUAGUGAAUAAACACAUAUCGAGGAUAACACGCCUAGCAUGGAAGAUACCAAUAGCCCCCUGUCACCACAUGAGCGGUUCGGGCAUGCAAAACAGAUUAUUUCUUGAAGGUUUAGAGAGUGGCACAUGCAAAUUUACUUGGAACGGCAGGUAGAUACCGCAUAUAGGUAUGUAUGCUGGACUCAUAUGGAACAACUUUGGGUUUAUGGAGGUGGAUGCACAAGUAGUAUUCCCGCUUAGUACAAGUGAAGGCUAGCAAAAGACUAGGAAGCGACCAACUAGAGAGCGACAACAGUCAUCAAAAUGCAUUGAGAUUAACUAACAUUGAGUGCAAGCAUGAGUAGGACAUAAAUCACCAUGAACAUGAACAUCAUAGAGGCUAUGUUGAUUUUGUUUCAACUACAUGCGUAAACAUGCGCCAAGUCAAGCGACUUGAAUCAUUCAAAGGAGGAUACCAUCCUAUCAUACUACAUCACAGUCAUCUCAACUUUCAUGUGGGUAUCCAAGACAAACCAUUAUAAGCUCCUAGCUUAGUAAGCAUGGCAUAAGCAACUAUGAUCUCUAAGUUGUCAUUGCAAACAUGUUUCCCUCACAACAAAGCUGAAUCAGGCAUGAUGAGCUAGUCAUAUUUACAAAAACAAAAUAGAUCGAGUUCAUACCAGCUUUUCCAGGCUCAGUCGCUUCAUCAUAUAUCGUGUCACACCCUGUUUUUCACCCCAAGUUUUCUGUGUUGCAAAAAUCAGAGAUUGUUAAAACUUUUUCAAAUAUGUUGUAAGUGCAAUGACAGCCCUUGUUUGAGUGUAUGCUUACUUGUUUGAUGACUCAAACCCAUGAAAAACUUAUUAUUUUGCUCUCUUCAAAAACCCUUUUUCCUUUAUAUCAAGUUCACCUUCAUCAUGUUGGGAUACACUACUAACUCAUGAAGCCAAGUGGCACUUCCAACUAAAGUUGGUGAUCUGAUCCAAAUAUUAUUUUCAUUCAUUAAAAACAUUAAUUGGUGAUCUAAAAUAUUAUUUUCCUAAUUUAUAUCUAUGUCUAUUUCUAAGGCCAGUAAUGAUAUUUCCACAAGGAAAAUUACUUUUCUGCCUUGGAAAAUUCUGAGUAAAUUCAUGGAAGCUCAGAAGGACAUAUAUUUUCCAUAUAUAAGAUUUUCAACCCUAUUUUAUAUUAAUAUUAUUUGAGUAAAACCCUGAAAACCAUUUCUGUCUGUUUUAGCUUUUUGAGAUGUUUCCAAAGGAAAUUAUCUCAGUAAAUUCCCAUAAAAUUACAGGAGCCCUCCCAAACCAUAUUAGGUGCUCACCUAAAAUCUCACCUUGAUCCAGGGUGGGGAAGUGCACUUAAAGAGCCCAAAACCCUCUCUGUCCAGAGUAGAGUUGGAACAACUCUACAUUGCAAAGUUUCUCCUAUGGAGCUGAAACUUUGCAGAGGUGUUUAACACCCCAAAUGAGGACUCCACACCAAGGAUGGGAUUUGUGAGACCCUGUUUGGCCACACUUCCUUUGUAAAGGACAGUACUGGUCAUUUUGAGACAUUUUCAAGUUUACAAAGCCAAACUUGUUCAAUGGAGCUCAGAUUUGGUGGAACCCCAUGUUUUUACCCCAAGGCCAAACCUGUUAAGUUUCAUUUACAAUGGUGGAGUGGAAGCACCCCAAGUCACUGUCGAACACCUACUACAAGGAAGGUAAAAACCUUCCUAGCCACUGUUUUACCCAAUGUCAAUGCCCCAAACUUGGUGGGUUAGAGCACCAGAACACCCUGAACACCCAGUCAAUCAGCCCCUCCCCAACUCCAAGCACUAGUGACAAGAACUCCAAUUUGAGCUGCAGGGCAGUACUGGCAACACUAGUGUUCCUUGCUCCCUUGACCAGCUCGAGCUCCCACUAAACCACAACGGCUAGGCACACUCCCAGCAACACUCAGGACAUGGAGGACACGUCCCAAGUGCCCGAGAGCGAGCCAGCAUGCCGUGGCAUGCCAAAACUGCGCUCUGGGCGCGCUGCAGAGAGCCACCCGCAAGGGGCCGACGCUCCGGGCGGUCCCAGCCUCCCCAGUUAUGUCCAAGCGCUCCCCCGACAACCAUUCAAUGCAAAGCUACCCCAGGUACCCUCUCCCCCUCGCGCAAGAGCUCAGGCGACGCGUGCCCGUGCGCGCCCGACGCGGCCGAGCAUGCACGGUCGCUGCAGCUCGUCCCCACUCGCUUUCCCUUUGCGGCCAUUGCACCAGGAGGCCCUAAACCACGUCCCGAACCCGUGGUUUCGCGGCCAGCACCUCACUGUGCUUGCACGCGUGCCACGGUGAGUCACCGGCGCGCCCGAGUCGGGUCACCGUCGUUGGCCUAUAAAUAGGUCCCCCGACACUCCAACACCCUGCAAGCAGCUUCAGCACAACCAGUAGACACUCCCUAGCCGCCCAAUCGAUCUCGCAGAGCCCCGAUGCUCGAGAUCGACCAAGGCCCCUCCGCCUCGGAGCUCCGGUCGAUCUCCGGCUACACGUCGGCUCCUGCGCUGCCCGACCUCUCAUUACACUCCCCUUGACACCAGGAACGUUUCCCCUAACUCUCCCGAGCGAAUCCAUACCCCUAGCCCCUAGUUCAACACCAACCCGAAACCCUUCCGCCACGAGCACCUCGUCGCCGGCGACCCCGACCACCUCCGGUGACGUCCCGACCACGAGCAGGUAGGCGGAGGCACGAGGAACCCGUUCCCGUUCCUAGCUAGGCCUGAGGACAACGGCAGCCUCGCCGGCGUCCAUCUCCACCUCUCUGGCUGGAGGUAGGAGAAGGACCCAACAGGUGGAGCCCACCUGUCGGUGUCCUGGGGCAGCCAGCGCGCGCAGCCGCUGACGCUGACCCCAGGGGCCCGCAGGUCAGGUUUGAACCUGGCCCGCGCGCGCCUGGUGGCCAGGCCUGCUGGCUGGGCCGACUGGAUCCAACCCCCUGGCCUUUUUAUUUUGUUUUCAUCUAGCAAACUAAAUGAUUUUUAUAAAAAGAUUUAGCCAGUAGAAAAAUGUAAUUCUUCCACCAGUAUUUUUCUAAAAAUGAGUAGUAUUUGAUUCUGUAAUAGUUGACAUUUAUCAAAAACAGAAACUAUUUUGGUAUAAUAAAAUGAUAUUAAAAAGCACUUGUUUGCUUCUGUUUGCUUUUAAAUAAAUAUGCUUAGCUAAUAAAACAAGAGGAAACAUUUUUCAAAAUAAUAUCCUGAAUUUAUUCAAGCCUUGCAACAUUUUUAAAAGCACUUUGUGAUCUGUUUUAGUGAGAGCUAGUAUUUGUUUAUUCCUUUCUCGAUGGUAGAGUUACCAAGUGACGGAGGAUCCGGAGCGGAAGACCUCGAAGACCCCGGAUACCUAGCUGACCAAGGCAAGCAACCCUUUUGCCAUGACUUAAGUAAACAAAAUGAUGCAUGCUAGUAUAGCAAGUAUUUUCCCGUUGCAUGUGAUCACAGUGCCGGUUCAUCAUUGUGGUGAUGGUACCGGAGGCUUCUUCGAAGCACUUGCAUGUUGACAAUGAUAUUCACAUGGCUCCUCGGAGAACAAACAUGAUGAGCUGACCCUACCAUCUACGAGGAUCAUGCUACUGUCAUGUUGACUAGUAAAGUAGAAUCACUGCAUUGAGCUUGACCCUACCCCGUGAGGGUCAUGAUAUUAUCAUGUUGACAAGUAAUGUUAAGGCAUAUUAUCUCAAGCAUAAUGUUGAGUUAAAUAAAGAGUUUAUGAAAACCCCGUCGGGUGCCACUAAUGCCCGAGGGUGAUGAUGAGUUGGUGAUCACUUUUGGUGAAGUGAUGCACCGGUGAUUUUGGUGUGAGUAAGAUUUCGGAAAUGGAUUAGAUUUAUGAUGUGUCGACCGUCCCAACCUUACCAGUACGACCACGAUACCCCUUUAUGGGGCGGGGCUUUGUUGAUUACUCUGGUCGGUGCUAGCAAAGAGCCACAUUACUAGUGGCGGGAGUGAUCGGUGUCACUCUCGUGAUGGGGCCGUGCCAGGUAGGACGACUCUGCCAUUAUUAUGAGUUCCAGGCACACCGUUGGUCCCUGCAUGGUUGAUACAAUCCAGAGUCGGUGCUCGUAAGACGUACAACAUGUGGGCUGGGUACCAAUCGAGUGGACCUCUUUGUCUAGUAUCGUCAGGGGAAAGAUGAUGAUUGGGUACUUACCUUGGGUAUAUGUGAUAUACCGCGAGUCGUGGAUGACACGGAAGUAUUCCGUUUCUCGUGGGUCCAGCGUACUACCUCUGCAGAGUGUAAACUAUUCGAAUAGCCGUGUCCACGGUCAAGGACAGUUGGGUGGUGCUGCUUAAACUACGUCCUGAGUUUCCGCAUAAACCAAGUGUGUGUGCGUGGUGUUAAAAAGGUGUUGUUAUAAUCAUGAUAAUCACAAUAAUAUGAUCAAGUUCGGUGACUUGACAUAUAGGGUAAACCCGGAUGGUUUAGCCCUCAUUAAUAACUUGAGGAUAUGACAAGUCCGAUGACUUGGCAUAUAGGGUGAACCCGGUGUGUUCAACCCUUGACAGAUAUGUCAAUAUCUGUAACCUGUUCUUCAAAAGUAGUUCUUUAACUUCUUGCACAUACUUGAUCAUGCCACCACAUUGCAUUCCACUAAAGAUAACUGUUACUGUUAUUCCUUACCAUAUAUAUAUAUAUCAUGGGCUGUUUGCGAGUACAUUCAAAGUACUCAUUGGCUUGCCACUAGUUAUGUUAUUGACCAGACAUGGAAGGACCAGAGUUUGGCGAUGAGUACGCCGUCGGAGACGGACCCACGAUCUAGGACGCUUCCAAGUCAGAAUGUUUGUCGGUGUAGGCUUGAUGGCAUGGGAACCGCUUAGCCCUUACGAGUUUUCGCUACUCGAUGUAUCCGUUUAAUUUGGCCUUAGGCCUUGCUCUUGAACCCGACCUUCUGGUCGUUUGAUGUAAUAAUUCGGUACUUGGAUGUAAGACUCUAUUAUUCAGUAUCUGUGUUCAGUGAACAUUGAUCCUUGGGGUCACUGGGCACGGCGAACUCGACUUGCUAGUCGGGGUCCCCACAUAUCGUCAUUAUUGCCUUUCACUUGCACGACCGAAUGUUGUGAACAAUAAUAAGCCUUCUUGUGCAUUGGACUAAAUCUGGAAUCUGCAGGCAAACACAAAGGAGAAGACAAAGUAAUAUGGCUCUUUGAAAGCUAAACAGGUAUGCAUGCGAGAGCCACUAAACAUUGUAACCAAUAUCUUCUACCUUGACCCAAAGAAAAAGAAAACUAUUUACACGGGAAAGCUCCCAACAAGCAAAAGAAGAAAAAGAAAAUCUUUUGGGGUUUUAUCAAACUAGACAGACACACAAAAAGAAAACGAGAAAAAGAAAAUAAACUAGCAUGGAUGAUACAGUGACAAAGUGUGAACACCGGCUAACAAAGUGAAAGCAUAAGCAAGAAUGUAAAGUCGGUGAGAACACGUACUCCCCCAAGCUUAGGCUUUUGGCCUAAGUUGGUCUACUCCCAAGGAGGGAAAUAACCAUCUCCGGGAUACUCCGGAGUGGACUGAGGAUGCCACUGCUGUGUGAGCUCCUCUGGCUCCCACUGAUAAACUAGCGUCUGGUACUCGACUGGUGGCUCGGGCACGGGCACCUAUGGUGGGGAUAAGCCCCAAUAUGCAUAGAUGUCCGAGGGCAUAAUGACGUACCUACAUGCAUGAAGAUUGAACAAAGAAGGAGCAGGAAAAGUAAUAGUCUCACGAGUACCCUGACUAAAUACCAGGUUAUAAAUCAUCCUUCUAUUUAUAUCUCUAUCAAGAAAGUCAUGGCGAACCAUGCUAUCGUAAUCUAGAUAUCUCUCGGGAAGAAGAACCUCUUCUUCCUCCUCCAGCCUAAUGGGUAUCUCAAAGUGUCUCGCAAGACGGGUAGCAUAGAUACCUCCAUAGACAACACCUUUAGAACGGUUCAGGUUCCACCGUUGAGCUACUAUAGCGCCCAAGCUAUAAGUUUUAUCGUUAUAAAGGGCUUCGUGCAAGACCACAAGAUCUGGCGAACUAAGUGACCCAGCUUUCCCACGGCCAAUCAAACAUUUUCCCACAAAAAGUGAGAAGUACCGAAGCACGGGAAAACGAAUGCUAGCAGCUCUAGCGCAAGACACUCCUCUCUCCUCUCCUACAACAAUAGUACCGAUGAAAGCUUCCAAGUCCCGUGGACGAGGUUCAUGAAUAUCCCCAACGUAAGGUAAUUUGCAAACAUUGCAAAAAUCCUGGAGUGACAUGCGCUGGGGGAUAUCAUAAAGUUUGAACUCAACCAUACGAGGAUUCUUCCUCGGAUAGAAGUUAAAGCUUUGUACGAAGAUAUUAGUGAGGAGGAGGUAUUGCGGACACUUAUCUUCAACGAAGGCGGUAAGGCCUACGUUUUCCACCAAGUGAUAAAAGUCCUCAUAAAUUCCAGCGGCGCGUAAGAACACGUCGCUUGGCCACUCACAUGCUCGAACUUCUGCGACUCGAGGGAUCAGAUACUUGGUCUUCUUCUCACUCCCAUCAUCCUUGGGGUCACGGCUUGACGAGCCUCUUUAGAACCUCCUCAUCUUUCCUUUCCCUAUCUCUGAAAAUUUCUGAAAUUUUUAGUGAUUCUAAGGAAAGGUGAAUAAGGCCCAACUAAACUCAUAGCAACUACUCCCACAAGUGCCUAGAGGCCAUAUUACGCAUCAAAACUACUUGGGACUAGCUAGAAUUAGCAUGCAAAGCUCAAGAACAUGGUCACCAAUGCAACAAAAAUACGCAAAGUAUAAGGCACCAGAGCAAAAACUAAUUGGACCAAUGGAGGAGUCACUUACCAAGGAGUAAUUUCCCCAAAACAGUUUUGAAGAAUGGUGAUUUGAGCAAAGAGAUCGACAAUCCCAGCAAGAGGAGCAAGAACACGGGUUUGAGCUGCGAAACGAUUUUUUCUGGAUGUAGGAGAAGGAGAUAAGAGCAAGAAUGAGUGGAGGGGGUGCCUGUGGGCCCCACAAGCCUGGGUGGCGUGGCCAGGGGGUGCCCGCGCCCCUAGGGCUUGUGGCCCACUGGUGUGCCCCCCAGACAAGCUCUUUGUCUCAGAAUUUUUCAAAAAUUCCAGAAAAAAUCAUACUUGAUUUUCAGGACGUUUCAAGAACUUUUAUUUUCGGGGUACUUUCCUACCGGACGCUAAAACAGAAAAUAGGGAAAACUAAACUAAACCUAUCAUCUUUCUUCUAAGUAACCUAAAGUGAAAGCUUGGAACAGAGGUUUGUGACUCCUUGAUUCAUCCAUCUCAUGGUCAUCGAAAGAAAUCCGUCAAUGGGGUUGAUCAAAUCCCCUCGACAAAACUUUCUCGAAUCGCAAAAGAGAAUGGAGAAUUUUCGAACAGUCACUAGGUCACCUCAAUGGUGAUGUGUAUCUCCCCAACAAGCAAAUCAUACUUCAUCUUGACACGAGGAAUAGGGCAUUCAAAGCUCCCAAUAAGAAUCGAUGAAGUUUUUCGAUAGCAUUGAUGUAAUGUACUCAAUAUUGUUUCUUCGGAAAGUGCACCGUAUGCUCAUUACCAUUGACAUGGAAAGUGACAUUGCCUUUGUUGCCAUCUAUAACAGCCCCUGCAGUGUUUAAAAAGGGUAUUCCGAGGAUGACAGCCAUGGCAUCGUCCUCAGGAAUAUCCAAGAUAACAAAGUUUGUUAAGAUGGUGACGUUAGCAACCACAACAGGCACAUCCUCGCAAAUGCCGAUAGGGAAAGCAGUUGAUUUGUCGGCCAUUUGCAGAGAGAUUUCAGUGGGUGUCAACUUAUCUAGUUCAAGUCUACGAUAAAGAUAGAGAGGCAUAACACUAACACCGGCUCCAAGAUCGCAUAAAGCAGUUCUAACGUAGUUGCCUUUAAUGGAGCAAGGUAUAGUGGGCACACCGGGAUCACCUAGUUUCUUAGGAGUUCCACCCUUGAAGGUAUAAUUAGCAAGCAUGGUGGAAAUCUCAACCUCGGGUAUCCUCCUCUUAUUAGUCACAAUAUCUUUCAUGUACUUAGCAUACGGAGACAUCUUGAGCAUAUCUGUCAAACGCAUUUGCAAAAAGACAUGUCUGAUCAUUUCAACAAAUCACUCAAAAUCCUCAUCAUCCUUUUUCUUGGAUGGUUUGGGAGGAAAGGGCAUAGGUUUCUGAACCCAUGGUUCCCUUUCUUUACCGUGCUUCCUAGGAGCGAAGUCAUUCUUAUCAUAUCUUCUAUUCUUAGGUUGUGGGUUAUCAAGAUCAACAGGUUCAAUCUCCACAUCCUUAUCAUUGCUAGGUUGAGCAUCAUCAUGAACAUCACUAUUGAUAUUAUCAUUAGGUUCAUGUUCAUCACCAGAUUGUGUUUCAGCAUCAGAGAUGGAGACAUCGUUUGGACUCUCAGGUGUAGCAGCAACAGGGUUGCUAGCGUGCAGGUUCCUAUCAUCUUUAUUCUUCUUUCUAGGAUGACUAGGUGCAUUAGUGCUAACUCCUUGAGAAUCUUGUUCAACUCUCUUCGGAUGACCCUAAGGAUACAGAGGUUCCUGGGUCAUUCUACCGCCUCUAGUGACGACUCUGACAGAAUUGUCAUUCAACUCAUUGAGCAAGUCAUUUUGAGCUUUAAGUACUUGUUCUACUUGAGUAGUAACCAUAGAGGCAUGUUUACUCAAGAGCUUAAGAUCAUUGACAUUUCUGUCCACACAAGCACUUAAAUGACUAAGCAUACGAGCAUUCUUUUCCAAUUGUCUGCUAACAUAAUCAUUGAAACUCUGUUGUUUGGCAACAAAGUUAUCAAAUUCAUCCAGGCAUAGGCUAGCAGGUUUAUCAAAAGGAAUAUCACUCUCAUCAAACCUACGCAGAGAAUUUACUUCUACUACCUGUAUCGGGUUAUCGAGACCAUGGAUCUCUUCGAUAGGUGGUAGAUUUUUGACAUCUUCAGAUUUAAUGCCUUUCUCUCGCAUAUAUUUCUUGGCUUCUUGCAUAUCUUCAGGACCGAGGAAUAGAAUACCUCUUUUCUUCGGAGUUGGCUUAGGAGGUGGUUCGGGAAUAGUCCAAGCAUUCUCAUUGCACAAGAUGUUAUUCAAUAGAAUCUUAGCUUGUUCUACGAUUCGUUCCCUAAAAACACAACCAGCACAACUAUCUAGGUGGUCUUUGGAAGUAUCGAUAAGUCCAUUAUAGAAGAUAUCAAGUAUUUCAUUCUUCUCAAGAGGGCGAUCAGGCAAAGCAUUCAGCAGAUGGAAGAGCCUCCCCCUAGCUUGUGGGAGACUCUCUUCCUCAGCUUGAGUAAAGUUGUAUAUUUCCCGCAAGGCAGCUUGCUUCUUAUGGGCAGGGAAAUAUUUUUCAGAGAAGUAGUAGACCAUAUCCUGGGGGCUACGCACACAACUAGGAGCAAGAGAAGUGAACCAAGUCUUAGCAUCAUCCUUUAGCGAGAAAGGAAACAACUUGAGGAUAUAGUAGUGGCGGAUCUUUUCCUCACUAGUGAAUAGGGUGGCUAUAUCGUGCAGUUUGGUAAGAUGAGCUACAACCGUUUCAGACUCAUAACCAUGAAAAGGAUCAGAUUCGACUAGAGUGAUUAACCCACGGUCGACAGAGAAUUCAUAAUCCUUAUCGGUCACAAAGAUAGGCAAAGUAGCAAACUUCGGGUCGUAUUUCAUCCUAGCGUCCAGAGAUUUUUCUUUCCACUUGCGCAAUAAUUUCUCAACAUCAUAGCUAUCCUUACACGCAAGAACGUCCUCAGCUAUCUCUCCCUCCAUAGCAUAGCGCGUAUCAGGCAUAACAGGCAAUUCAGGCAUAGUAGCAGGUUCUACUUCAAUAGUAUCAGCAGUUUCAGAAGUAUCAUCACAUCUAGCAGCAACUCUAGCAAUUUGUGCAUUAAGGAAUACACCAAGUGGCAAAGCAGUAUCAAGCAUAGCAUCAUCAUGCAUAGUAUCAAGCAUAGCAUCAUCAGGCAUAGUAUCAAGCAUAGCAUCAUCAGGCAUAGUAUCAAGCAUAGCAUCAUGGGCAUCAGAAGUAGCAUCAUCAAGCACAGGUGACAUAUCAAGAUUUCUAGCAGAAGGCGAAGUCACAAACUUACUCAAAACUGAAGGUGAAUCAAGUGCAGAGCUAGAUGGUAGUUCCUUACCUCUCCUCGUAGUGGAAGGCAAGAUUUUAGUUCUUGGAUCUUUCAGAUUCCUCAUAGUGACCAGCAGACGUAAAUCCCAAAGUGACUCAGAGAAUAUAGUUGUGCCUCCCCGGCAACGGCGCCAGAAAAAGGUCUUGAUAACCCACAAAUGUAGGGGAUCGCAACAGUUUUCGAGGGUAGAGUAUUCAACCCAAAUUUGUUGGUUCUCCAAAGGGGAAGCGAAAGAAUAUUCUCAAGUAUUAGCAGCUAAGUUUGUCAGAUUCAACCACACCUGAAAUAUUAGUGUCUGCAAGCAAAGUAUCAGUAGCAAAGUAGUAUGAUAGCAACGGUGCCAAAAACAGAUAUGUUGACGGCAGACUAUUCCUAACUGUUGUAUCAAUGGCGCCAAUGUUGCAUGUGGACGGGGAACUAUUCUUCCCUGCCAACGGUGACGAAAAAGGAUCUUGCGACAAGUAACAGCGAAGUAGCAAGGAACAACAGUAGUAGCAGCAGCAGAGUCACAACAGUAGCAACAGUAGUAGCGAAAUGGCCCAAUCCCUUUUGUAGCAAGGGACAAGCCUGGACAAAGUAACGUAGCAAGGACCAGUAGUAAAAGACUCGUAGGUAGUGGAUCGGUGAUAGAUGAGUAUGACGGAUGUGAUUCAUCAUGUAACAGUUAUAACACGGAGAGAUAUGUAACUAGCUCCCGUUCGUCAAUCUAAUGUAGGCAUGUAUUCCGUAUGUAGUCAUACGUGCUUAGGGAAAAAAACUUGCAUGACAUCUAUUGUCCAUCCCUCCCAUGGCAGUGGGGUCCUAAUGGAAACUACGUGAUAUUAAGGUUCUCCUUUUAAUAAAGAACCGGACCAACGCAUUAACACGUGGUGAAUACAUGAACUCCUCAGACUAUGGUCAUCUCCGGGAGUGGUUCCGGCUAUUGUCACUCCGGGGUUGCCGGGUCAUAACACAUAGUAGGUGACUACAACUUGCAAGAUAGGAUCUAAAACACACAUAUAUUGGCAACAACAUAAUAUGUUCAGAUCUGAAAUCAUGGCACUCGGGCCCUAGUGACAAGCAUUAAGCAUGGCAAAGUAGUAGCAACAUCAAUCUCAGAACAUAGUGGAUACUAGGGAUCAAUCCCCGUCAAAACUAACUCGAUUACAUGAUAGAUCUCAUCCAACUCAUCACCGUCCAGCAAGCCUACGAUGAGAUUACUCACGAACGAUGAAGAGCAUCAUGGAAUUGGCGAUGGAGGAAGGUUGAUGAUGACAAUGGCGACGAUUUCCCCUCUCCGGAGCCCAAAACGGACUCCAGAUCUGUCCUCCAGAUUUAGAACAGGAGGUGGCGGCACCUCCGUAUUGUAAAAUGUGAUGAAACCUUCUCUCUGAUUUUUUUUCCCGGGCGGUACGGAAGAUAUAGAGCCGAGUUUGGGGGCGGUGGUGCCACGUGGGCCCCACAAGCCCUCACGACGCGGCCUAGGGGGUGGCCGCGGCCCAGGGGCUUGUGGCCCACUGGCACGCCCCCUCCGGUGGAUCUUUGCGCAGGUAUUUUUCUUUUAUUCUAGAAAAAUUCUUCGUAAAUUUUUAGGACAUUCCGAGAACUUAUAUUUCUGCACAAAAACAACACCAUGGCAAUUCUGCUGAAAACAUCAUUAGUCUUGGUUAGUUCCAUUCAAAUCAUGCAAAUUAGAGUCCAAAACAAGGGCAAAAGAGUUCAGAAAAGUAGAUACGACGGAGACGUAUCACACAUCUAACUUUCAAAGCAUCAAUAUCACUAGACAUUCUAUCAACGCUCCUAGCCAAAUCGUCAAUUUUGAGUAGUUUUUCCUCUAUGGACGCAUUGAAAAUCUUUUGCGAGUUGAUAAACUCUUUGAUAUUACUCUCUAGAUCAGAGGGUAAUCUAUUGUAAUUUCCAUGAGUAUUGUUGUAGGAGUUGCCAAAGUUAUUAGAGGGGUUACUAGGAAAAGGCCUAGGAACAUAGUUUCCUCUAAAAGCAUUGUUGUUGCCAAAAUUAUUCCUACCAACAAAAUUAACGUCCAAGCUAGCGUUGCUACUCUCAAUCAAGGAAGACAAGGGCAUGUCAGUAGGGUCUAAAGGAGCACUUCUACUAACAACCAAAUUCAUUAACUCGUCCAUCUUAGCACUCAACGAGUUAAUUUAUUCUAUAGCGUGUACCUUCUUACUAGUAGGUGAACUUUUAGUGUGCCACUGAGAGUAGUUCGUCAUGAUAUUGUCUAGGAGUUUUGUAGCUUCUCCUAACGUGAUUUCCAUGAACGUUCCACCUGAGGUGGAGUCCAAGAUAUUUCUAGAAGCGAAAUUCAAGCCAACGUAAAAGAUUUGUAUAAUCAUCCAAAGACUCAAGCUAUGAGCUGGACAAUUUCUAAUCAUCAAUUUCAUUCUCUCCCAAGAUUGUGCAACAUGUUCAUGAUCAAGUUGCUUAAAAUUCAUAAUAUCAUUACGGAGAGAGAUAAUCUUAGCCGUCGGAAAAUACUUGGAUAUGUAAGCAUCUUUGCACUUAUUCCAAGAAUCAAUACUAUUUUUGGGCAAAGACAAAAGCCAAGUUUUUGCUCGAUCUCGCAACGAGAAAGGAAAAAGCUUCAAUUUAAUCACAUCAUUAUCCACAUCUUUCUUCUUUUGCAUAUCGCAAAGCUCAAUGAAGGUAUUAAGAUGGGAUGCGACAUCUUCGCUAGGAAGGCCGGAGAAUUGCUCUUUCAUAACAAGAUUCAGCAAAGCAGCAUUGAUUUCGUAUGAUUCCGCACUAGUGGCGGGAGCAAUCGGAGUACUAAUAAAAUCAUUAUUAUUAGUAUUCGAGAAGUCACAAAGUUUGGUGUUUUCAGUCAUGGUGACUUCAGCAAGCAAGCAAGCAAGCACACAAGCGAACAGAAAGCAAGCGAGAAAAAAAGGGCAAACGAAAAAGGCAAAUAUUUUUGUAAUUUUUUGUUUUUCAGAAGUGGGGGAGAGGAAAAUGAGAGGCAAAAAAAAGUAAAUGCAAGAGAUGAGUUUGCGACACUUACUUGGAUGAGUUCUUGACUUGAUCCUCCCCGACAACGGUGCCAGAAAUUGGCACGUUGACGGGAGACUAUUCUUGACUUGAUCCUCCCCGACAACAGCGCCAGAAAUUCUUCUGCUACGGCGACAGAAAUCCUUCGGUUGCCUCUUGAGCUUGCGUCAGUUUUUCCCUUGAAGACGAAAGGGUUGUGCAGCACAGGAGCAGUAAGUAUUCCCCUCAGUUUGAGAGCAAGGUAUCAAUCGAGUAGGAGAAUCGCGCCAAGUCGAGAGUACCUGCGCAAACACAAAAGAGCUUGCACCCAACGCUAUAAAGGGGUUGUCAAUCCCUUCAAGAUUGAUUGCAAAGUGAGAUCUGAAGGCAGAAAGUGCAACGAAGUAAAAUUGUAAGGCUGAAAAUAUGGUGUGUAGUAGACCCGGGGGCCAUAGUGUUCACUAGAGGCUUCUCUCAAAAUAGCAAAUAAUAUGGUGGGUGGACAAAUUAUUGUCGAGCAAUUGAUAGAACCGCGCAAAGUCAUGAUGAUAUCUAAGGCAAUGAUCAUACAUAUAGGCAUCACAUCCGAGACAAGUAGACCGNCAAACAAAACCCACAACUCGAAGAGAAUUACAAGGAUAUGAAAUCAUGCAUAAGAGAGAUCAGAAGAAACUCAAAUAAGAUUCAUAGAUAAUCUGAUCAUAAAUCCACAAUUCAUCGGAUCUCAACAAACACACCGCAAAAUAAGAUUACAUCGGAUAGAUCUCCAUGAAGAUCAUGGAGAACUUUGUAUUGAAGAUCCAAGAGAGAGAAGAAGCCAUAUAGCUACUAGUUGUGGACCCGGAGGUCUAUGGUGAACUACUCACGCAUCAUCGGAGAGGUCAUGGUGUUGAUGAAGAAGCCCUGUGUAUCCGAAUCCCCCUCCGACAGGGCACCAGAACGUGCCCCAGAUGGGAUCUUGUAGAGACAGAAGCUUGCGGCGUCGGAAAAGUAUUUUCGUGGAUCUCCCCGUCAGUUUUGGAUUUUUUCUGAAUUUAUAGGCGGAAGAGGUAGGGUAGAUGAGCCACAGGGGGCCCACAAGCCUGCUAGACGCGGGCCCCCCUGACCGCUCCCAGGGGGCUUGUGGGGUCCCUGCUGGCCCCUGCCUUGGUUCUCAAGUCUGGUGCGUAUCUUCUGUUCUGGAAAAAAUCUUUUCGAAAGUUUUAUUCCAUUUGGACACCGUUUAAAAUCCUCCUGUGAAAAAGGGUCAAAAACACGGAAAAAACAGGAACUGACACUUGGCACUGAGUUAAUAAGUUAGUCCCAAAAAAGAUAUAAAAGGCAUACAAAACAUCCAAAGUUUGACAAGAUAAUAGCAUGGAACCAUAAAAAGUUAUAGAUACGUUGGAGACGUAUCACAAAGCAAUAAAAAAUUCUCCUAAAUGUGCAUAAUCUUUUAUUGUAAGGGAAAAUAAGCUUUCUACGAAUUUAUGAUGGUAACGUAAUAAAAAAGCGGACUGCUUAAUAAAGGUUGCCAUCAUAAGGGGCAAUAUAAAGUGAUGUUCCUUUAUAUUAAGAACUUGCACAUCCAAAAACUAAAAGCGCAUGACAACUUGUGCAUCCCUCUAUGAAGGGCAUAUCUUCUAUUUUUCACAUUUUUACUUGUAUGAAAUAGUCAAAAAUAUUUUAAUACUAAUCCAACCUUAAUUAUUCUCCACUUGGCAAGCACUAUGUGGUAGGGAAAGAUCCAUGUACAGUUAAAUAUAUGUGAUCAUGAGCUAUUAUUCUUGACAUUAUCCUAAGAUAAAUAAGUUGGGAGGAGUAACAUUAAACCCCCAUAUUUGUUUGUGUAUGAUUGAUACAACUUGUUGUAAAAAUAUGCUUUGAGUGUCACCAAUCAUGGAAGAAUAUAUGAUAGUUAAGUAUGCAAAGUUUGCUAAACUAAAAGCUCUUAUAUAGAUCCUUCCUGGAAAUGUAAUGAAUUGCAAUUGCUUUGAUGACUAAGAGCAUAGUUUGUUAGUUUUUCAAUGAAGUUUAUUGCUUACACUUUAGCUUGUGAAUGAAUUAUUUCUUGAUCAUGAGAAGUUUUAUGACAAAUAAUUGUUGUUAUAAUAAUGAUCAUGGUGCUACCAUGUUAGUAUUUUCUUUUAUCGACACCCCUCUCUCUCUCUCUAAACUUGUGGUCAUGUUUAUUGAGUUGGGUUUCCGCUUGAGGACAAGUGAGGUCAAAGCUUGGGGGAGUCAAUACGUCCAUUUUGCACCAUGUUUUCUUACUGUUAUUUAUAAUGUUUUGGAGUUCUAUUUCACUUUGUGAUGCAAUUCUAAUGCUUUUUCUCUCCUUCUUAAAAUGCAAGAUAUACCAAAAGAGGGAGAUUGGCAGUAGUUGGAAUUUUGAGCCUGAAAAGGCUACAAUAGAGAUAGCUAUUCAUUGGAGCUCCAAAUGACCUAAAAAUUCAUGGAGAAUUAAUUUAAAAUAUAUUAAAAAUACUAGAAGAAAUAAGUAUCAAAGAAGAUCCUCGGUGAGCCACAAGGCACGAGCGAGUCCUGAUGCCAUUUGGGGCCCAUAGAGGACCUCUAAAGCCCAUCUCGUGCUAUAUGAAUCCAUUUGCGCUAGAAAAUAAAUAAAUAAAGAGAAGGCUUUCGGGACGAAGUGCCGUCAUCUCGAGGCGAAACCUUGGCAAUGAAUACUUUUGCUUUCCGACGGAGCGAUUCCACCGGGGCGACAUUCCUUCGCGAGGGGGUAUCAAAACCAUCGUGAUCACGAACGUUCCUCUCGUCAUGGACGACUCAUCUCCAUCAACAUCUUCACCAACACCAUUUCAUCUACAAACCCUAGUUCAUCUAUUGUAUCCAAUCUUUAAUUGUCUCAAACCUAAGAUUGAUACCUAUGGGUUAUUAAUAGUGUUGGUUACAUAUUGUAGUUGAUACUAGUUGGUUUAUUUGGUGGAAGAUUAUAUGUUCAACCUGCUUAUUAAUUCCUUGUGCUCCUUGUUGGGUUCAACACUCUUACUUAUAAAAAGGACUAUGAGUGAUCCCCUAUACUUGUGGGUCAUCAAUAUCAUAGGUCGAGGUCGCUGUCCACUUAUCCGAGGGCAUGGCGGUUGUCGGUAGGCUGUCGACAGACUCGUCGACCUCCUCGUCCAUGUCUUCGGUCUCGUCCAUGUGCCUUCAAGGAUGUCGGUUAGAUCCUCGACAUCGGCAACAAGACGGGUGGUGGUGGGUCAAAACUAUUGGCCCUUCCUGAGGACUCAUGGAUCCAAUUGUACACCGAGAUCGGGUCAUCUGAUGUUGCGAGCUUCUGGACCGAUCUAGCUACUCAUCUAGAAGAAGUUUCUCAUGCUCCCUCCGAGUCCGGCCCGGUACCUAAAACAUGGAGAGCGACUUCGAGAUCCUAUGUGACAUUAACCUCGGAAAAGAUUCCACGCGUUCGUCUUGAGCUUUAGUCAAAAUCAAGACCAUGGAAAGCGGCUUUGAGAUCCGACGUGACAUCAAUCUGAGAAAAGGAGUCUCACGUUCUGCCAAGGCCAGAUCUAACAUCAAGGUCACGGGGAGCGACUUCGCGGUCCGAUCUAGGAUCGACCACAUAAGAGGAUUCUCACGCUCAUCUUGAGCCUAAUCUAACAUAGGCCCCGGGACAAGCGGUUCAUGUUGCUCCUCGACUAGGCGCAACACCGAGCUUGUGAAUAUCAACUCCCGUUGGCAAUCUAUGGUGUACUUCAUGUUGUCAAACCUGACGGUCUACCUUCGAGUAAAGGAUUUGACUUGGCCAAGGUGGCUAGCCGAGUUGGUGACAAUGGUGACCCCGUCAAAGAUGAACAUCUACCCCGACACAAAGAUCUCGUCGGAACUGAUAUGCCCGUUGAUCCCGACUCCCAUCAAUCUGCGACGAUCACCUAGCAGACAUGCAUGGGCCACCACCGAUGGAACCUAAACCGACCGAUCUCGAGGCAGGGGAUCCUAAGCUAGAUGAUUUGGAACAAGGGCAACAGAGAUACAAGGAUUUUACCCAGGUUUAAAUUCUUCGAGAACACAAUACCUUACUUCGUGCCAGUGUUUAUUACGUUGGAGUAGGUACACAAUACAUGCUUCUACUAAAAGAUUUCUUAUUGUUGUUUACGGGUCGGGCCCCUUGAUUUAUAUAGGUAUGAGGUUACUAGGGUAUAAAAUCCUAAUCGGCUACAUAUGGAGAGGCAAUCCUUUUCAGAUCCAACACUUUAUCGUGCGUGUCAAGUCUACGGAAUCCUAUGAUUAUACGUCAUGGGCCACUCGAUGUGGCCCAUAUCGAAACCAACAAGGGGUCCUAAGUCCGACCCACCAGACGUGGAUCGACAUGGUAAGGACCCCUUAGCAUGGUUAUCGAAUUGCUUUCAUUGAUUUUUUGAGGAUGUGGGCGAGUUUGCGCUAUCUCUCUACUCACACGAACGCGGCAUUACAUUUUUUUUUUUGAGCAGGAACGUGAUAUUACAUUCCCCUUCACUGCAUGCACAUACACUCACUAUUUAAAUUCAUUCCUAACAGAUUUGAUCGAAGUGCUUUAAGAUUGGCGCGGUCUGAAAUUUUGGUGCACCCAGAUGGCCAAAAUUACGUACCCCGGGAGAUCGCACGAGAUACUAGUCCAGAAGUUUCGAUCCCCUCUCUCUCUCUCUCAAAAAAAAGAAAAAAGAAAAAAAAAGAAGUUUCGAUCCCCUCUCCUCUCUCACUUUCCCGUUUGUUCUCUUCACCCCCAUUCCUCCGGGCUCGCCGUCGCCGACGGGACCUCCUCCACCUCCCGCACAUCCUCACCAACAUCUCCCCAAGACUAAGGCGUAAGGAGGAAGCAAGCGCCCACCUCCCGCCGCCUCCACUGCCACCGCUGUAGCAGCAGUAGCGUACGCAGGAGAUUCAGAACUGUGUGUUGAACACGCGCGUGGCAGGGAUGGACGACGGCGACAGCGUCGCCCGGAGCGCAGACAAGGAUGCCCCCCCGGGAGACGACGGGAGCUCCACGCCCCUCCCCGAGACGGUGAGGAUCUCCUCUAUUAUGCAAGCACCGCGUGUUUGUUUCGAAUUGUCCGCUGUUUAGAUUUCAUUCGCGUGAUUGAACGUCUUUAUUGGUGCGGUAUGGUUCGGAGUUGAGCGAUUCGUGCUUGGAAAUGGCACAAUCUCGUGCGGCCGCAGGGUUCCAAGGAGCUGGGUAUGGAGAUAUCUUGUUUAGGACUAUAGGUUCCAUGCUAGAAGCGCGAGUAGACAUGAAUUCGGUAUUUUCUUAGGUCUGAGAUGACAGGAAUGGUCACUAUUGAAUGGUAGGACCUGCAGAGGUAUGAAAAUGUGACAUGAGCAUGCUGUCCGAGAAGUUCCAUUAGUGUUAUGGAUGGCCUUGCAGGUCUUUGUUCUUAACCUACUAUAUUCGUGUUUUUUCACGGCACAAAUGGAGCAAAUAUGCUUCUUUAACAUAGCAGGAAGUAGAUGCGCGAGUUUGAAUAUGCUACUGUGGUUGUUAUGGAACAGUAGGAGCUAAUUAACGCAACAAGCAGUGCCUAACUGAGAUUUCUAAAUUUGGAAAAGGAAAUGUGGGAAUGCAACAGCGUAGGUUGGUCGGUAUAUGCUUGUGCAAGUGUGUACUGUUUAUUUUUACAGAACAAAGUGUGUAUGGUUUCUAGGGUUUUGAACUGGGUUGCAAACUCUGCUUAUGUCUUGGUAAGACAAAACCUUCUUUAGUGCUGAUUCUGUGUUCCUUUUUGAACCUGUGCAUGCCAUUUAUGGUAAACAAUGUUAAAAUAACUACUCUUCAAAUGGAUAUUAACAUCUCCAUAGACCAUAGACUAGUAGUUUUGAUCACAUAUACUCCCUCUGUCCCAAAAUAAGUGUCAUUGAUCUAGUACAAAAUUUGUGCUAAUUUAGUACUAAAUCUGCGACACCUAUUUUGAGACGGAGGGAGUAAUUCUUAGACUGCUUGUUGGUGGCAUUCCAGAAUAAACAUCUGGAUGCCUACAUGCUGCAAAAGCUCAAAAUGUCCUUUGCUUCAUGUUUUAUGCAGUAUUACUACCUAUUUUGGUCAGGGUGUUAUAUAACUAAAUUCAUAGAUGCAUGUGAGCCUGGAUUUUUUCUUGUUGUUAGGAAAUAGGAAAUAUGCAUACACACACACACACACACACACGUGUGCAGGUGGUAAAUAUGUAGGAAACCCCUCAUACUAUGGGAAAAAUAUACAGCCUAUACAUGGAACAUAAUAUAACUCACCCUGUUGUCGUGGGAAAUUGAUCCGCACAGCACCACAAAUUCCUCACUUACGUGGAGGUAAACAGACCAUUUUUAUGCAAAACGGCAAAGAUGAGCCAAACCCUAGGGCUGCUAGGGCUGUGCAGAAGCUACGACCUAGGCGCUGGAAGGAGAAAGCUUAUAGGAGAAAAAAGUAACGUAGAGUUGCGAAAGGAUCAAUGAUUGUAGCUUUUCAGUCGACCAUGUACCCAUAUAUAUUAGGUAUGCUUGGCCUUUGGCAAUUUGGAAUAGGACCCCUGACUAGUCAGGUACCAUUUCCUUGGCAUACAAGCCAAAUUGGUAAUCUUUAAUUAAUUCGGCUAGACCUGUAAAAGCACCAGCCUGAGCCCAAUGCUAGUACACCUUCCUUAUUAGCUCUGUUCUCGCCGAAUAGCUGAUCAUGCAAAAUCUUUUCUAUCUCAAGCAUUCUAAACCAGAUCUCUUUCCUUUUUUCUCUUCAUGCGUGAGCUCCAGCACACAAUUCUGUUGCAUCCAGCCUGCUGCACCUAUCCUAUGUACUUGCAAUCAUGUGGCCAUUCUCAAACAAUGUAUCAACCAAUUAGCUUAUCCACCAAAACUAAAUAAUCCGGCUGACCAUUCAAGCCAGAUCCAAAUUAGACUGUCAACACAUGCCCCCCUGGUUUUGGUGUAAUUUUAUUUGCCAAAAACACCAUGGCAAUAUCUUGAGACGAUUUCAACCACUUCACCGGUCAUAUCAAUUGCUUAGGGCGAUGUCCACAUAACACACCUGCCAAAUUUAGCAUAAGGUGAUAUCUAAAAUCACAUCGGGCAUGUUUUGCUUAGGGCGACAUCUUAAAUAAUAUCGCCCAUAGUGCCAUCAAGCUUCUUGCCACAUUCUAGGAUAGUGCUUCUUCAGAUAUUUUCUAUUGAGAGCUUUAGGCAAUUUCUCCCCUUGCAAAAAUUGUAGAGAAUAUCAAUUUCCAGGAACAAUCUCUACAAUCUUAUACGGACCUUCCCAACUUGGCGACUAUUUGCCGAAUUUAUUAUUUCUAGUUCCUAUAGACAAAACCGUUCUCCGCACUAAUUCUCCUAUUUGAAACGAUUUCCCCCU
rnacentral:lncRNA from 1 species